GUUUUGAUUCUUCAAACGACAAUUAUUAGGCUGUGCCUCUUUGCUUUCAUUCCCGCACUUCUUAGGGGAAGUCUACCACCUUGCCAUCCAUAGAAGAGAGCCUUACUUUGAAUGUACCUGGGCCUUGCCUUACUGACCUGGAACCUUGCUUUGUAGCUUCAAAAUACCUCUCCUUUUCUUGGUUCUGACUUUCCUGGUUCUCCGCCUGUCACCCUAGGGGCAUCUAUUAGAAUUACCUUUCUCAAUUGGUCUGCCCUUACGGAAACUCAUUCUAUUGCUAUUGUUAAAGAAAGCAACAGUGAAGUAGAAGAAUGAAAAGAACAAGUAUCAGAAAAGAACUCAUUUGCUUAUAAUAAAAGAAGUAGACCUAGCAGUCCAAACCUAACUUACUACCCUAUCGCUCCUGCCCCAAAGUAUUACUUGCCUAGCCCUCAUUCCAAUACUAGCAGUAGCUGUUUCAGUUUCAAGAUCCGAAGCCUUAUCAAAAGGAGUUGGCUAAAGUCCAGGUCUAGGUAAGGAUGCUACCUGUGCUACUACUGCCGGGCAAAAGUGUGCUACCGGGCGAAAGUCUGCUACCAGUGAUCGUUUAAUACCGAGACCAAGUUGAAGUAAGUGUUAUCCUUUUGAAAGAGAAGAUAUCAUUUAGUACGGGGCAAGCAGCCGACAAGCAGGAAAGAUCCCGAAAUGGAACUUUAUAGGAGCGGCGAGUGGGACAAUAAGUGACGUUACCUACUUCCGGCGUUUCACCCAGGACUUGUGCAUGUCAACUCAACUACUUGGAAUUGAUCGAGCGAGUAUAGAUUGGAGUCAACAAGCCUACUUCCCUUUCUUUUGCUUCAAAACAAAGACCAGACUUUCCACUUCAAUAAUGAAUAUCGGCUUUGUAACUCCCGAAAACAGGACUUGCACAAGGUACUUUUUAGCAUCAGCUUCAGCAGUUUCUAAUUCUGUCUGAUCUUCUUUCUUUAGACGAUGAAAGUCAAGCACUAUAAGAGAAGAGUCAAAGUCAAUAGCUCUCGUAGACUUAACGAGCACCGGCACUCGAACCUCUUUCGCAGACAAAUAAACAAGACUGGAAGAAGUACCGACAUAAGCACCGGUAUCGGCGUAAAGACAUCUGACAAUUGAACUGCCUCUGAUCGCCACCCCCGAUCUGAAUGAUUAUCCUUCUUUCUAUACCAGUUGGAUCUUCCGUUGGGCAUUCAAAAAGAGAUUCUUCCCGAACUAGACUUGGACCACACCUCGCAUCAAAGCUUUUAAGCGGAAGUCUUGGCCAGUCCGUUCCCGGGUAAUAGUAAUAGUCAGAACGAAGAGUUAGAACUAUAAGAUUAGGCUUCUAGUAGAGUAAGCGCAGACGGCACAGUUCCUUCUUUCAUUUUUCAAUAGUGGAGUUUUUGAAAGAAAUAGUAUGCGCAGACGAGCCGGCACCGGUCUUUAUGUUGGGUUGGGCUUUUCUUUUGCCUACCCCAGCUCUAUCCAUAGCAACUACGGGGAAUAAGUCUAUCAGCGACCUUCCACUUAUGAUUCACCAACUUUCCUUUUGGAUUUCUACUUCACAAUAUACAAACAGCUUUUAUGAAACAUCUGGUCUUGGAGAGCCCUUCCACCUUAAUAUGAGUUCUUUCCACUUAUUAAUGCGCCUUUCAAGAUACAUUUCUAGAUGGAUUGCCCACCGAAAGUUCCAUAUAUAAAGGCUAAAGGGUUGUCAUCGACGUUGACAAAAGAGCCUCCUAAGGUUGGUAGUUGGUUUCUUUUAGUUUCAAGCAGAGCUCGGGCUUCUUCCGGAGGGCAGCUAUAAGACCUUUCCUUUCCCCUCUCAGCCGAGCGAUGUGUAGCAAGUGUCUUUCUUGCCUUUCUGAUUUCAUGUUUCCCCACAUUCACACGGUCUUGGAACAUGGUGAAUGCUACAUAUAGAAAACAACAAAGAGUAAUCAAAUACCUGAGUCUAGCUCCCUUACUACUUACAAAUAAUGGGAAAGAAGAAAUGGGUAGAGCAACAUUCUGCACUGACCGUCAAGACGUGAGAAUUCAUGAUUGCGCCAGCCAAUUAGUCAUCUUCAUAUUAUCAUGUGCUAAUGGUUGGGGGAACACCCAAGCUUUCUCGAUCAAUAUAGCAGUCAAAUUUCCCCUCUCCCCGAUCCAUGCUGUCUUUAGAAGCCCUUAUGCCGACCCCGUACUGAGGAGUCUGCAUUUCAGAACCAGCAGCUAUCUCCAAACCUUACCCUCGAAAGAAUUUAGUGGUUACGGGAUCCUCCAGUGGGUCAGGUCCAAAACUCUCUUUCCCUACGGAUUUAAGGUACGGGGAAUCUGGAUUAUUAGCCCUAUGAAUCUAUGAUUUCUUAUUAGUAGAGCACUAUGAAUUGAAUCUAUGAUUUCUUAUUAGUGGAGCACUAUGAAUCUAUGAUUUCGCGCACCCACCCAGGCACUGGAGAAGGCUUAUGAUUUGUGGAAGGAUCACGGCACUGGAGAAGGCUUAUGAUUUUGAAGGAUCACCUCAACCUAGAGUAGCAACAUUCUGAUAUAUCCCUAAAACUAACAAAAAAACAUGGUUAUCCUCGUUCUAACCCGAAUCCUACUUCUUUCUUUCUUUCCAUGGAAGAUUGGAAAUUUCGAAUUCGGAAGGCGGGGUACUGGGUACUUUAGGAUUUGUUCUUUGAAGAAAGCCGAAAAGACAGAACUUUCCUCGGAAAUAGUAGGCUGCUUUUGUGCUUUUUUCGGAUAGCUUAGCUUGUGAGAUACUCCGAGAGCUCUCGAAUAGGAGAGAAAAGAAAGCUUGUUGCCCAUUGUAAAAGCUUGAACACUUGCCAGCUAUAGGAUAUACUCAAAUGGGAGAAGAGAAUACAGAUAGAGGGAUUGAGUUACUGGCCCAUAGACAGAGACUCCAUACCUAGCAUACAUACCUAUUUAUUAGUCCGUAGCUUAGGACUUGAAGAAAUCAAAGAGCUAGAUUCGCAACUGCUACGCCAACGGAUUCUAUUCCCACAGCAUCUAAGCUUUCUCCCCUUGGCCAGCUUGAAAACACACUUUGGAUGCAAAAAAGAAACUAACAACUUACACUGCUACUCUAAAAGUAAGGGAUAUGUGAGAAGCUAUUGACUCUGGAAUCUUAGGUGGGCCGGUUAUUUAGAUAUAUUGACUAUAGGGCUAUUUCAUAGGGGUUUCUCUUUCGUCAAUCUUACGCGCAACCAAUUCUCUUGUCUGUAACCCUCUAUCAAUGCACCCUAUGUGAAACUAGUAAAGGAACUCUUUAUACCAUGGAUGUCGGGAACCAUCAUUCAGAUGGAUUCACCCACACCUCGCUUUUCGGCUAAAGUGUUAUUACCAGAACCUAAAGCGGCUCUCGCGGGUAUUAACUUAGCUGCCCUGCCAUUAUUGGUAUUCAUGGGAGUGCUAGACCAUACAAGGUUAUUAAACAUAUUCCAUUGCUAGGACCAUACUAGGUUAUUAAACAUCUUCCAUUGCUAGACCCGGCCUAAUAGGUACUUCUACUUUCUUACCAGGAUAGGAUCAUCAUUAGUAUUAGUACCAUCCCCACUUGCCUAAACAAAAGCAUUUAGAAAGGCUAUAAAACGAACAAAGGAACUGGCCUUAUAGCAGAAGCGAUACUUGCGCUUGCCCCUCUUUGCCUACUUGCUUGCCGGAUCCUGAGCUAGCUUACUUCCUUUAUUCUCUUCUUUAGCCUAUUAGGGGAUCAUCAAUAUGCAAUACUCCUUCCCCAGCCAGCAAUAGUCAUUCCUGACCUGGAAAUGGAUAUGGGCGCUGCGAGCUUGAAAGAGUAGGCAUCAAAAUCUCACUCCUAAGAAUCAAUUGGUGAAACUGGCCCAUAGUAAGACUUAUACUAGAGCACGCACCUCUAUUUUAGACUCCCUCCUUCCUUUAUCCCCCAUUCUUUUACAUAAACCUUCCUUUAUUCCCCAUUCUUUUACAUAAAUGAAGUAAUAAUAAAGAGAUAGACUUAUGGGAAUUAAGUAAUAAUAAAGAGAUAGACUUAUGGGGACGGUGAAGCAGAUACUUAUUUCUUCCAUAGGCGCAGGAAAUCCACACCAAAAUCCAGUAAUUUGCUCAUUCACUUACGAGAAGGAAAGCUACUCGGUUGAGAAUCUUCAGAGGAACUCACUAACCUGGCCCGAGAGUCAAAAAAGGAACUCCCACGAUAUGGUAACACUGCGCUCGAAGUCAGGAUCAAUAUGUGAGAGGCAGGGAAAAAGAGUAUCUGGACUUUCCUUAAACUGGCACCGAGGAAACCCUCUUAUUAUUUACAUUCCUUGCCCGGUGAUAGAACUUUCAUUAUUAUGUAUCUUCUGUUUACCUUGGAGUUGAAUUCUAUUCUGCUAAAUACAGAGAGAGUUCCAGAAGUAGGAGCAUAAUCAAGAUCUUCAGCCGAAUCGAAAGAUUCCAUUCCAUGGUUUACUUCAGCCUUAAUUAAGUAUCCAGGUCCUGUUAUAGUUGUUGGCUUAGAGUCUCUUUCUGUUCGCCCAGUUCAAGAUCCUAUUGAAUAAGAAGUGAAGCGGGAGAAGGAUAAGUUCGAGUGUUGUCUACUUGUUCUGUUGAAGAAUCAUCAUAAAGUCACAGGAUUUGGAAGCCCUAAGUGAAUGAGUAGAGUCUCGUAGAAACCCAGUAAUUAGAGAAUCAGAGGAAUCUUAAGGAGAAGGGGCCGAAUCCGAAUCCAAAGAUUCAAUAAAAGGUUGACAAGGCAAAAAGGGAAAGUUAGCUGCUCAAUUGCUAUUCGUAUAUUAGGAUGUGCAUCAAUUCUGUUAAGAAAUUUAUGGUUAACUUGACUUUAGCUCUCCAGAAUCAAUUCCUUCCUGAUGCACGAUAUCUUCCUAAAAUAAGUAUCUUAACGGUGCGAGUAGCUACGUUGCUUGUCUGCUUGGCCCGUUAGCGAGUUAGCACUUCCAUUCUAUUCCAAAGAUGGAUCUUCCGCAGGUCAUUUUAUUCCAAAGAUAUAGGUUUAGGAAGUAGAGUUCCAGUUCGUUCUUAUCUUAGCUAUGUCGAACAGAGGUCUGACUAAGCAAUCUCCCUACUGCAUAGAUUCCAUUGGGUAUAUUGGCAUAACAUAAGAAGAUGAAAUUACCUAUUGGUAUACUUCCAAAUAUCCCGAUUUAUUGUAAUGGUUGUUAAUGCUUGACAGAGGUCUUGGCUUCUAUAGAAUUAAGUAACAACACCAGAAACCAUAAAGAAAGAACACGCUACAAAGCUCAAAGAAAGGGGCUUCCCACUCACAAUAGGGAUAGCUGGAUCCGGGUUAGAAGCAACUGAAUUAGAGAAAAAAAGCUGUAUUAAGAGAAUCAGUAGCGCCGAGCCGAGAGAAUCUUUAGCACAUCUAUAACGCGAAAAACAGGACUCGUUUAAGAGAAUCGACUCUCUUUUCUCAGCGGGUCCAUGCUAUUAUUGCUCUAGAGCAUCUGGUAUAUAAGGUAGUAAACACACAGCACCCCUUCCCUUUAGCUUAGAGUCAAGGAAAACAUCAAUGAAAACCACUGCAAACUCGUAGAACUCCGAUAGGUACCUAACAACCCGACACCAAACUAUGGAUUUGAUUCAGUAUAUCGUCUUUUGUCUCCUUUCCUCGCACCCCAAGAGUAUAGUAUAGUUUACUUUAAAGCACAGCUCAUUCUUGAGUAUAGUUGGCACAGCUCAUUCUUGAGUUUAGUAGAGUGGCACUUUCCUCAAACUGGAACAAUACUAUCAUCUGGAACUAUACUUACAUAUCAAGCUUCCUAACCUUAUCCUACUUUUUAUUGGCUUCCAUCUAAAACGAAACUGUAAAAAACCUCCACUGGACUAAAAGGAGUACCUUCAAUUAGAAAUUCCACUAAGCAAGAAACAAACAGCCCCGCCCUGACUCUAAGUAAGAGAAUCCAUCUAGCACAUGAGAGAAAAGAGUCACCUAACCUACUAACUCAUUUAUAGCUUUUUUAGGGGAAUUUGCCUAACGCGCCACUCACUCGAUGAAGACCCAGCUCCCGCUUUUCAGAUCGAGUCGAUGUCUACUUUCCAUCUUCCGCUUAUAAUCCAUCUCUUGAUCCAGCAUAUUAUUGAGCCUCUGAUUCUAUAGCGGACAAUCCUUACUUUGCUCCAGAUCUUUGUAAGGCUUCCUCUUAUCUACCGACUUGGAGCUACUGCAUCAAACUGUUAUUUAGUUAUGAAUUUGUCCGGGUAGUCCUAGUAGGAAAUUCCAUUCUGGUAGUCCUAGUAGUCAAUUCCAUUCAGAAUAAGGGGACUCAAUAGCACAUAUUGAAAUAGAAUAGGUAACCUUCCAACCAUUAACUCUUUAUCGCCAACACUGUAGGGGCUCUGUCAAGGAGAGGACUCGAAAAGGAAUCACAUAAACUUAAUGUCCCCGCUCCAGCUAAUUAGAGAGGUUGUGUUAUUGAGGUCGGGUCGGGUGCGAGUUAAGCUAUAGGGUAAGUUCUCAAGUCAGGUUAUAACCGAAAUCAGUAACAAUCAGUCAAAUCGGUCAUAGCUAAAUCUCAAUUAAGAGUGAGAGAGAGGCUUUGUUGCGAGGUCGGCAAGGGGACAGCCAAUCAUUGAAUGCGCUAGAUCUAUCUCAAUUGCUAUAGUAUUCAUUUAUCUAUGAUAACCCUCAGGCUCUCCCGCCAAUGAUUAUGUUUCUUCUGUUUAAACUGCAGUUGAAGGCUAAUUGUGCUGUUUAUUCCGAUAUACUCGAUUCACACUUUAGAACUACUGAGCAUACUCUACUUAAACACUCGAUUCAUUUGGAAUUCUCUCUUAUCUCCAGAAAGAAAGUGGAGUCGGAACCCCUGGGAAACUUCCUGCCCAGGACUUAGAGAACUAUCUUGUUGCUUUGCCCUAUCGAAGAGCGGAGAUUGUGAUUCCAUCUAAAGAGCUCACUAUUUCAAGGUUUAUUGCUAUCAUUCCAUACUCCAUCUUUUUAUUGUCCCCGUUUGAGUAUGCCGCUCAGUAGUCCCUUACCUUAGUAGGAGGGAAAGUCAAAGGAAAGGAGGAUUAAUUCACGGAUGCCCUGCCCCUAGCCCUACCAUGGAAGAAGGAUUCUAUAGAGCCGCCCUAUUGAGAAAAACAAUAUGAGCCUAAGGCCAAGGAGGACUCAAUACCAUAAGAAUCAAAGAGCUAAAAAAAGAGAAAGUAGAGCGCAAAGGAAAGAAAAAGGUGAACUGGAGCUCCAACUGGUUUAGCUUAAGACUAGAGAGGACUCGGCUGGACCCCUUUGUUAUAUUCAUUGUAUGGGGACUUACUGUGCUCUUAUUUACUUAUCUAUUGUAUUGUAUAGACAGUGUUCUCUUAUUUACUUAUUCAUUGUAUGGACGGACGUGACUGUACUUCUUAUGGACUUACUCAUUGUAUGGACUGUGCGUGCCCUAUUAUUUAGAUUCUCAUAGUUAUCUCAUUCUUAUUACCCUCUCAUCAGUUAUUCUCUCGUAUGUAUCUUGUCCCGGGUACAGCUCCCUAACCUGCUCUUUCAACUCCAUUCAGCCAAGCAGACAAGUAGGCAAGUCAAAGAAAUUAGGGUUGACUGCCCCUUAUAGUACUAUAGUGAGAAUUCCGGUAUGAGGUAUAGUAGCCUUAGUUAGCUGAGAUUGAGUAUUGAUUGGCUUUACCGUGGUCUCCAAGCAUUAAGGUUCAGGUAAGGCUUAAGAGGAAGUAAGGAUGCCCGGCAGGAAUUUCAGGUGUUGGAUCUAAGCCUUAGAGUGGAGAUGCGCAAUUGGAUAAAGAAUAGCUAGAAUUAGAUUAAGGAAUGGCAGAUCAAUAGGGAGUCUCUAAAGUCUUCUUUCCCAGUUGAAGUAGUCGAAGUACUUUUUGAUUCUAUCAGUUAGCAGCUCAAUUACAUCGACCCUGUUCCGAGUUGAGUUCACUGAGUUUCAUUGAAUUCCUGGGUCUGUAGUAGUUGCUUGGCCCUUCCCGCUUAUCUAUCUUACAAAAGAUGCAAUUUGUUCUGAGGCGUUAAGUUAUGCCUGUUCUUGUUUAAGAAGCCGUUCCGAAUUGACUUAAUAAGAUGCUUUAAGAGAAUCAGCAGCAGCCCCCAUAAGAUGCUUUAAGAGAAUCAGCAGCAGCCCCCGAAAACAGAGGACUUACUCCAGGCGAAAACGAAACAGGUUUUGUGUCUUUACUUGUAUCUACACCACAUGUGAAAGAUAGAGAUAGAUUCAAUUCAUCAAGAAGAUCCUCAGCGCUCGAAACUGCUUAUUUGAAUGUUUUCCUCGUCUAAACAAGUCCUGUUGCUUCUGUCUAUAAGUCUGCAAGUAAAGUAGAAAGUCCGCUUACAGCUAGAUUCUUUCAUUCAUAUUACAGCUAGAUUCUUUCAUCUAUUAUCUCAUAUGCGAGGAUUUGAUUAAAGGGGCUCAGUCUAACAGGCCCAACUCUGCCUUGUUUGUGGUUUCCUGCAAGUUAAGUAGAAAGUAGAGUAUCUCGUGUAAGUAUAUCGUUUGAACCCUUAUAGUUGUAUAGUAGCUCCCGUUAGCGAGUUAUGCCGACGCUUCUAUCUAUGAUUACACAAUAACUCCACGAAACUACAAGGACUGUAAGCGCCAAGAGUUUGCCUUUUGCUAAGUUCCACUCAUCAAAUGUGGGCACCCGCAUCUUCACUGAACCGACCCAAACUUGACUACUCGGGAAGGUAAAGCACCCGAACUCAUGAACUUUCUGAACUGACAACACAAUAGAACCUCUCUCCACGACACCGCGCAUCAAUUGGACGACUUAGAUCACUUAGCGCUUCUAUAGGAGAUGAACUAAAGCCAACUCCUCUCUCGUAGCACCUAGCAAAGACUCAAUCUUUCCUCUUCUCUUGCCUCUUCUCUUGUAUUGCCUCUGAUCUCGUAGACCUAACUAACCCGGCUUCCGCUCUUUAGAACUCUACUUUCCUGUCAUUGCUACUGACGACUUAUCUAUAUCUUUCUUCGUAUUAAAGAAGUAAGUAACCAACCAUAGGCUCUUUCUCCAAAGUCAUCACCUUCCAAUAAGCAGUUGGAUAGACCCACAAGCAAUUGCAUGUAUUCGACAUUAGUAUAAGCCAACUCCGUAAGGCAAGAAAGAAAGAAAGUAGAGGUGGGAAGGAAAGAUCAUCUGCAGUACGCGGGUAGGGUCAUAGUGUUCUCUGUUGCUGUAGAAAGAUAAUGAGCAAGCCCAGACUCAUAGGUUAGGGCGUGAGGGAAGGAAUGAACAAAAUGUGCUCCGUUCUGAAGGACACUUUCUCCUUUCCCAUAGUGAUAGUAAUGACCUCCUUUCCCAUAGUGAUAGUAAUGACCUCUUAAGAUAGAAUGACUGAGUAUAAAAGGUAAGGUAAGGAAAUCCCAUCUCCUCUGUAUUCCAAUUGAAAAGCAGGUCUUAAGCCAGCAUUGAGUUCCUCCGGACUAAAGGAUUACUGUAGCUUUCUUUACAUUCUCGUAAGCACAACCAAACUAUUCCCAUUCCUUAAGCUCGCUAGCAUACCGUCUUUCUAGCUUGAAUAGUGAAAAACGAGCAUCUAUCUUUGUAAAGAGAAAGGCUCCUCCUGAUCUUGGGAAGAAGAAUCAAAGUAGAGCGAUAUGCCCCAAAUAGUCCGUUAGAAUGAGUCAAUGGAAUCGUCUCGGAUCUUCUCUGGCUACAACUACUGAUGAAACUAAACUAAACUACUACUCGUUUGGGCAAGAACUAGACUUUCCACGCCUACCUCGUCUCUUUGAACUCCCCCUCGCAACUUUGAGCUAGAGCACCAACAACUGGAUUACCAGGAACUUCACCUUACCCAGUAGCAGUGAAAUCUCAUAACAGUACUAUCGGGAUGAAACCAGCUCUGACCCUUAAACUUGUAGUUUCGUAGUGACUUUCUCCUUGUAUUGACUGGAAAGAAGAGAACAGAUGAGCCACAGGUAGAUCAGCAGAAUCACUAGACGUUACUCGCCCGCAAUCUCAUAAGGGAUCUUUUCUUCUUACUAACUCUCUUGCUCUGCUCUUGACGAGACUCCGGUCUUAGAAUUAUCUACCCUGGCUAAUGAAUCUGUUUACUCUACCAAGUCCGCGAGAGCUAAGCCUCUGAUUCCUUACCUGCUCUUGCAACUGCUACUACUGAUUCAUUCCCAUUUGACUAAUUCCGAGUGGUGUGGAGAUAUAGGUUAUAAUGUUCGAGGCUUUGAUGCGCUAAGUUAAUGCCCAGUUACAGUUUACAGUGGAGAAUUGCCUGUUACAAAAGAAGAAUCAGAAGAUGAACUAAUACAGGAAGAAUGAAAUUGACUACCUAAUGAAAAUGAAUAAGACAAGUAAGUAAGUAUUAGACUCCUUGAAAGUAGCGAGGGUUGGCAGUUAGGAAUAAAUCCAGUCUAGAAACUCCCUUCCGAGGAAGCCGGGGAAGGUAAUAAGAAAGUACAGCCUUUGAGGCCUGGCGAGGUAUCUUCACUACUUUUCGGGUCCUGGCUAGCUGUUAGGGGAAGAAAUGUAGUCCAGGCCCAGACUCAGUGGAAGGAGAAUCCGCAUCAGUGGUUGUAGCCAGAGGAGAGUUAGAUUAGUAUAGGAGUCAGAGCCAGAGCAGAGCCAGCAGCUUGUUUCCUUCUUAUUAGUAGUGGUAGAUAGGUCGGGUCGGGAAGCAGUUUAGGAGGUGGUCAAGUAGGAGUGGAAAGGAAGCCUUAGUGAGCUCCUAGGGGCAGAAUCCAAUCUCCAGGAAUAAGCUUGAUAAGCUGUUUCAAGAGAGGCACAGGAUCUGAAGAAUCAAUUCCUUCUGCUGAAGCGCGGUGAAGUGUAGCUCUUGGGGAAUCCAUCAAGUCCAGGACCUAUAUAGGUAGGAAAAAGGGAGUUCCUGAGUGAAAGGGAAUAUUCUUGCAAUUGAGUCCGGUCGAAAUGCAAAGUAAGAGGAAAUCCACUUUCUGUAUUUGAUCCUUACCUUACUUAGCUCCCUUCCUUCUUUCUGUAUUUGAUCCUGACUUUACUUAGCUCCCUUCCUUCUUUCUUUCUACCCUUAAUGAAACAUUAGGAACAAGACUACAACUGCGGAGGGAGUUUCAAGAGCAAGUCCAUUUGCUUAUUCUGCUGACUCACCCCCUACUUCAAAGAACGAUUUUUCUGCUGACUCACUACAAUAAGAACUAAUUGAUGCAGCUUCCUUAGUUUACUUAACUUAAUAAUAUCAUCUAAGUGAAGCACCCAUCCCUAAGCAGCUAUAUACUUGGCUAAUGCUAUAGUCUUGUGCAACACCACUAACACGCGCAACACCACUAACACACCCCGAAACUAAAGAAUAUCAUUGAGUGCCACACAUGAUAGAAACAUAGUAAUAACAUCAUAUCAUACUUAUUGCUUAUAGAAACAUAGUAAUAACAUCAUAUCAUACUUAUUGCUUAUAGAAGAUAGGCCAAAGCUUGUUCUGUUGCUUAUAGAAGAUGGGCACCCCUUGCCUUGAAAGUCCAAGAAUAUGAUAUAAGAGGGUCCUUGAAAGCCAAAGAAUAUCGACACCUGCCACUAUAACCACUAUAACCAAUAUAAUAACCACUAUAACCACUAUCACUAUAAGAAUUAGCUCACUUUAUAGGGCUUGUUUUAUUUAGUGCAAGAGAAUGUGGGUUUCAUUUAGUGCAAGAGAAUGUGGGCACAGUGGAAAAAGAAAGGAAAGGGUAGAUAUAGAUACAUUGCACUGACAUAUAUGAUGAUCUCAGUAUAGAUAUAUGAUGAUCUCAGUAUAGUAAGUAGUAACGGCACUCUUGAUUCUAAGCAUACUCCUUAUUCUAUGCUCUAAAACUAUCUAAGCAAACUUUCUAAGCAAACUAUCUAAGCACACUCCUGUCCUAAUUAUAAGUUAGUUAGUUCAAAACUCCUUCUUCCCCCUUGCGCUUACGCUUAUUGUUGUUCGGGGCACUAGCACUUAUUCGAGUUCUGUUUGCACGUUAGCGAAUUCUACUUGUGUUCCUUUUUUUGUAAGAAUAUCUUAUUUAUUGGCAGCUUCGCCCUAUCUAUACAAUCAAUAUGGUGAGUACUCUCUUUAUUGGCAGCUUCGCCCUAUACAGCGUAGGACAGAUACACCGUUCUCACUUAUGGAAUUUCUAGAGACACCGUUCUCACUUAUUUCUACUGUGUAGGACGGAGACACUACUAUUGCGUAGGACAGAGACACUACUAUCCCUCACUUUACUAACUCACGUUAGCCCUUGCUUGCUUGUUUUAGUUUCACACCCCUAUACAACUCUAUGCUUACAGCUUGUUCGUUCCCUUGCUUUAAUGAUUUUCUUAGUUUACCCAUUAUGUCAUUCAGGCCUAACCUCCGUCAGUGUAAUUCCCAAUAUGAGGCUUAAGAAAGAUAGACUGCUUAGGCUUAAGAAAGAGAGAACACCUGCUUAAGGCAGACGAACCUAUAAACAUCUUACAUGCAGGCCGGAGGCAUAGUUUAGAGAAUAUAGAUGUAGUUUCAAGACGAGAGAUAUAGUUUAGAGAAUAUGGAUGUAGUUUAGAGACGAGAGGUGGAGACGAGAGAUGUUGUUAGGAUAGCUAUUUACGGGUGGUACCUAUUUCUUAGAGGGUAUAGCGAGAUAGUCUAGCGAAAGUUUAGGGUGAACUCACUAACGCUAGGCAGGCAGCCGAACCCUGAACAAGAGUCAAUCAAUUUGAUUGUUCCAUCUCUGAACAAGAGUCAAUUCUGUUUCUUGUUCCCUCCUUUUUGAAUGAGAAUCCAACUAGGAGGAAUUCCAUCAGUGUCGAGUCGAGUGUUUACUGUGAAAUCGGUUCUUCAAGCCUCAUCUCCUAUCUUUUCUCAUGCCCACGUAGACUAUGCGGUGUGUGAAGCAUCUCUGGACUCAGUUUGCGUGUCUCUUUACUCUGUUGUGUGCUUAUAUUCCUUUUGAAGCUCGGUUCGGUUCUGAAAGUGGAGUUGAAUCGUGUGGUUCAGUUGAAAGAGAGGAAGCUGUAGUAGAUUCAAAGUAAGGAUCCUGGAUGAAGUGACUAUAUAACAAUAUAUAGUAUUUGUGUGCACUAGAUCAGGCUCCCUCCCCAAGUAGGACUUUGAUUAUUGUACUUACUAUUAUAAGCCUUAUACUAACUUACAUCAUACCAUUAGUAUCAGCCAACAAAGCCAACUACUCUACCUCAAUUCGAACUUGUAUAUUUGUCCGUGCUUGUAGAAGCCCUUGUUACAUCCUUUACAGUAGUCAUUUCUGCCUUUAUUUACUGUCUCUCAAACUUCAAACUCCGGGUUUGAGUCUUGCUUGUAAGUGUGAGCUUGCCUUGCAUUCUAUAUCUCUUGUUUAAAACGGACCCUCCUUGCUUCGUUCCUGCAUUGGGAGUUUGCCCCAGCUACACUCUUUCGAUCCGGAUCUUCGCUCUACUAUAUCUUAAGCUAGCACUCCGGCGCAUCAGGCUUACUUUCAAACCAUCUCUCUCCUCAAAACAAACCCGUUUCUUAGCCAACUGAGCAACUAAUAUCACUCUGUAGCUCCCCUGCGCUUAGUCUUACUUUAAUAGCGAGCAUUCUCCCUAUCCCUUUGCCUUAACUCUUUAGUUCGGAGAUCCACUAGGCUUACUAUCUUGACUUUGCUUCUAGGACUACAGAUAUGGAUCCUUUAACAAUAGUAAAUAGGAGAAAGGAGCUACUGACAGGCAGACCUUCCCUACUAACUAUUAGAAUCGAACACUACCAAAAAGAAGAGAACCAAAAGUCAGACUGAAACAAAGAACUAGGACUUACCCCGCUAACUGGGAAUACGCUCCUGCCACGUGAAUCAAACUCCGCGGUAGAAGCAUCAAACUGUAGAGGAGUACCCGAGCCCGAACCUUGCUUUUCACACUUCCACUAUGGUAUCUCUUUCUUUUACUCCGGGUACGAUGUAGUACAUCUACUAUAUUAAUAGGAAUAACCUAAUAGGACUAGAGAGUAUGGGUAUGAUCUAAAGCUCAGUAAUAGUAAUAUCAUAAUAGUAAUUAAUAUAUAAUGAUUGUUUCCAGAGCGUAGUAAGAGAAUCAUUGGUGAAUUUGAACUAAACAGUAAAUCGAAGGAAUAAGUCAAAGAAUACGAGUUAGGAGCGGGCAAAGUUCACUACAGAUUUGAGGGCAAUAGUCUAAGUUUAAGAUAGAGGAAAGUUGGACUCGAGCUAACAGGCGCGAUGUGAGAUCUGUGGUUGAAUUACCAGUUGGGAGCUACAGCGUUGACAGUAGUGCAAUUCCUUAUUAAAAGCUUAAUGCUGAGAAUCAGUAGUCAUAGGCUAAGAGAAGGAGAUACUAAAACAUAGGCAUUGCGUGGACAACUACAAGAGCGAGCCCGAGGCAAGUAAUAAUAAAUGAAUGUCAAGUCGGAGUCAAAAUCCACCCCCAAAGUGAGGAUACAGUGAGGAGGCUCUGUAUAGAAAUAAGGACAGAAAGGAGGAUACGUCUACAGGAGAUGUGACUACUGGGUUUAGUGACUAUUGGGCUUAGCUCUGGUUAUGCCCUACGCCGACAUGGCCCAAAGUAAGUGAUGGUAACUACAACUAUACUUUAAUAAGAAUCAGAAAUCAAGUCAAAUAAUCAGAAAUCAAACUAACAAGCGAGGCUCUAAGCAAGCAGAGGGAGAAUAAAGGUAAAGGUAGUAAGCCUGCGAGACAGGAAAGCGAGGCUCUGGGUGGUUAGUAUAAGAAGGCCUGUUUUGCAGGGUAAGGCCCAUAGUAAGUAGUAGCUCAAUCCCUUGUUGGUAGUGUGUUUCUUCUUUUAGGCAUGGGUUUCUUUUUAGAGUCCGUAGUCGCAUGCUAACAAUCAAAUAAUACAUAGAAUCCGGGUAAUCUAGUUCCAUUCUUUGAGUAGUACUGCUCAGCGUAAUCAGCUUUAAGUGCAGUAGCGAAAGUCCCUGUUCCGAGUUGGGUUCGCCUAGUUGGAUUCCCUUUCUCUUUGUUCCAUUAUUAUAGGAGUCGUUUCUUUUGUCUGUAGCAAUAGGAGUCGUUUCUUUUGUCUGUAGCACUGGGUGAAGUCUGUCUGCGCUCUCAACAAAUACGGAAUUGAUCCUAUAGGGCUUAGCAUCUAGCGCACUGGAAAGUCAAAGUGAUGUAAAUAUCCAUAUUCUAAUGAGAAAAGGAAUAGACCUUUUGAGUAUAGUUUCGCAUAAAUAACUAAUUGAUAUUAUAUAAAUGACACUGAAUCAAUACAGGAAAUACUUUCAAUAAGGAAUGUCAGGUCUAGUUCUGUGCGUAAAUGCGUAAUGGAAGGUCUAUAUCGGUGCUAUCUCAACUCUUUAUUGGAAGUUCAAGUGUAUUAAAGCACUAUUCACAUUCCCGGCCUAGAGUAUAAGAGAAAAGAAUAACAACAAAAGAGAGAAUUCAAGCAGAGGUAGUAAGAAUAAGAUAGAGGACAGCUUUAGAUGAAGGUGUAGUUAUAUAGCCUUAAAAGCAGUAGAGCAAGCCCGAGAUCGAGUCAUGGCAGUUCCAUAUGUGAGUUUGGGUGUGAGGUCUGAUGGGCAGUGCUUCUAUUCUGUGUACAUCAGUGAAAGCUUUGUUAGCCGCAGUUGAGUUUCUUAGUUCGAAUCCAAUUCUAGUAAUAGUAGUGAUGCUCUUGUUAGCGGUGGGUUCGGUUCAGUCAGUCUCAUAUAUAGCAGUUUCAGAAUUGAAGAUUGAUGACGCAUAGUCAGAUUCCAAGUGCCGGCAGCAAGACUAACAGGUGAAAGAAAUACUUUAGGGCGGUUAGAGGUCAGCAGGGGAAGUUUUCAACAAAGAAGUCAGCACCCCCGUGAGCAACUACAGACUGAAGUCCAAGAGAGAAAGACCUAUAGACGGGAAAACAAGGCUCUAAGCAAGGGCAGCGUCAGCAGCGAUGGCUCGAGCUGCAGAACUCAAGUAAUCCUUUUAAGAAUAGGGGACUAACCAGUCAAACAAAUCUUGAGGGGAGUGGCCAAGUACUAAUAAGAACGCAAGAAGCAAGUAGUAGACUCAAGCCUAUAAGCAAGGAUACAGUUUAGCAGUACGGGAAUGGAAGCUGGGGCAGUAAGGAUGAGAUCGAGGUAAGGACUGGCUUGCCAGCAGUAGCUCAAGUUAAGUUGGGCACUAUGGAAUUACAGGUUGUUAUGUUAGUACUCGAUCCCUAGUUUCUAGAUCCAGUAUUGUUGGCAUUGAUUCCGAUCUGUAUUAUCAAAGAAAAGUAUUAGAAGCACUAGGUCAAUUCAGUGGGGUGUGGGGAUAGAGUUAAGUCUUAUAAACAGUAGGCUAAGCCUGAUACGCAGUAAAGCCAGGAUCAAAGGCGGGGAGAGGGAUACGGUAAAGCAAGGUUCGAAUCAAUAGAUAGGGAAUUGAGAUAGGGCAGUGUCCGGUUGAAAGAAUGACUAGUAAGCAUGUUUGCCUGUACUGUUUGCCUUUAGUUGCAUUCCGAGAAGCAGCAGUGAAAGUACGAGAAGCACUAACUACUUGGCGCCAGCUUGUCUGCUUGGUUAUACGUGACUUGGCUCUCCCCUACUCAGUUGCUCUACUCCGGACAGAGGAUGUCUGACUGUUGCUCUACCUGGGACAGGAUGUAUUACUCAGGAGUUAUUACAAUGGAUGUAUUCAGGGCGGUAGCGAGUUAAAGGAUCAAGUGAGUUCCUUGUUGCGCGGCAGGAGCCCGAGCGAGCUUCUAGUAGAUCUUGCAACUAAUCAUUUAUUAUAUACUAGUAGAUCUUGCAACUAAUCAUUUAUUAUAUAGACUAUAUCCUAUUCUUCCUAGUUCUCUUAUUAUUCCUAUAGCCUAUACUAACUCAUAGGUAUCUGACUCAUAUAGUACUUACCUAAACGAAGUUAUUCAGACUACGAGUUCUCUUUUGACUCCUACUGAGUGAAAUUAUGACUUGCUACACCUUCAUUGCUAAACACAUGGGUGAUACCUACUACAGUUACAAGUCCUUAUUUGUUGCUGCUACCAUAUAAGUCGAAUUCUUUCUCUGUGAACUCCACUUUCCUGCAUCCCUUUUGCCAACAACUUUAUACCUUUACUUUAGAACUGAGCUUGCUGGUGUUCGACUCAAUAAAUAUGUUAGUAACAGUUAUUACCAAGUCCUUAUUUCGGGUUCAGAAGAUCAUAUUGCAGUCACAGAAUUUCUUUCAUCUAUCGCAGACUUAGAACCAAUAGCCGGAACUCUUAUGGAAUCUGGUACAAGCACAGCUCAUUCUUGAGUCUAGUAUAGUAUCCUUUCCUGGCACCCGACCUGUAAUCUAAUGGUUGAGCUACAGCGGCACGGCACCUCGAUUCAGUAUUAUUAAGUUGGGCUACUACUACUCGGGACUGCAAACCCAUCUUUUGAAUCUACUGGUGGAUCUGUUUCCGCUCUACCAGCUUACUUUUGCACUGAUCCUUCCACAGUGGAAUAUCUGUCUCCUGAGUCUGCGGAUUCUCUGGAAACGGAGUCUUCUCCUUUCGAUGUAUACUUUCCAUCUGAUGCUUCGGAGCACUCGGUGGGUCGCAUUCUUUAUUUGGAGUGUGAUUCUGACCUUGGAGUGAAAAAGUCCACAGGCUUCUAGCUCGACACUUGUUUGCCUCAUGACUAGCUUAUCAAUUCUAUACCUUUCUACCUUAAUUCUUCUCCGAAUCUCCCCUCGCGCAGAUAUUUGUAAUUCCGAGUUGGCGGCCGUACACCAAUGCUUCGUAUUCUGCUUCGUUGUUGGGAGUAUAGCCGUAUGGCCUGUUCCAAUCGCAGUCAAGAGGAGAGUUAGAAGAAGGUACUUUGUUGAAUCAGUAUUUGUAGUAUUAGUUGACAGCUGGGUCUACAAGGGAAGCAAUGGAAGGUUGCCAGCCCAGUGGAAUCAGUAGUUGUUGAGAGAGUUUAGGUAGGCAAUAAAGUCCAGAGUCGAGGUCGGCAAGAGAAUAAGUCUCGUCUCUUUCUUUGGCUUUGAAGCGGGGAGUGUGGAAUUACCUGGAAAGCUGGGUGAGUUAGGUCUACGAGAUCAUCACAAGUCCAGUAACCUUAGUAUAUGAGUGAAAUUAGAACCUUAGUUGCGGAAGAGGGAUAAUGUAAGUAUAAGUGGGUAAGUAACCCUGCGCUCUGAACCAACCCGGGGCCCAGUACAUGCUCUUACUUGACCUAUCUAUCCAAUUUGAAGUCAACUCUCUUCUUUAGUACAGGACCCUCCCUUCUUAGUCCGAAUGAAGUUCAUUGUUGCCAGUUUACAGAGGAGAAGUAGAUGAGCCAUAGGGAGAUGAGCCAUAGGAGAGGCAAGUUUCAUAAAGGUCUGCAAGGGAAGCGGUUAAGGAGGUGGGCAAGUAGGAGUUACAGAAUUGACCUCAGUAAUUUCAUUCAGUAGUAGCAGGGGAUCAAGAUCAGAAUGAAGCCAGUAAGUCGUUGCUUGCUUGUCUGGCUUUUUCCCUUUGUUGUCUCCGAGAGAAGACUCAGUGGCUAAAGGGGGAGUUGUGGAAGAAUUGGUUCCUCAGGAUAAGUAAGGCGCUAAGGGAAGUUCAUGAGUUGAGUUGAUUCUGUUCCUUUCCUAAGCGAGUUGCUUGGCGCCCAUAACUCUGACUAACGUAUUAUGUGAGUUCCGACGCUGUUUUCCAAGAAAAAAUAAGAGAUGAAAUAGUAAAGAAAGAAGUAAAUACAUGGUACACGGCUUCUUUAUAUACCAAGUGCUAAACCCAAGUAAGAAAGAUAUUAAUUAAGGUAGAGUUGCCCGCUGGGCGAAAUGAGAACUCUGGCCAAGCUACUAAGUAAGACGGCCACUACUAAGUGCUUAGUUGGAGGCUUUGAAGCUAGAAGUACUAUUGAUCCCAGGUAAGAAACAAAAGGAAAGGGAAGUAGGAAGUCACAGUCACCGGCAAGCGUAUACUAGGAGCAAGAGGAAAAGGUUAGGAUAGAGGUAAAGUUGCAUCAGUAGCUUAUGCCAAUGAGGCAGAGGUAAGUAAACUCUCUUCUAAUAAGAUAUAUUCCUAUACAAGGGGGCCAAGCAACUACUAGACGCCAAGCAACGGCGCAAGCCGUUGUGCGGCAGUAACAACAAUAGUAAGUUAUAAACUGUUAUUACUAGCUAUGUGUUCGCUGUCGCGUCAGCGAGCUAUAAUAGCGGCAGCCAAUAAACAGUUAUUACGAAGUUAUUACAAUAGAUGUGUUCGUAGCGGUAAGUUAAGUAAAGGUAUCCAUUCUAAGAAGGUAGUGUCAGUAGUACUAAGAUCAGAAUGCAACUGCAUAGUGACAUCGGAGGAGCAGCCCUACCGCUACACAUUAGUAGUUACUUGGUGCAUCUAGUAAUUGAAUGACAGAAUUGACCUUAGCACUGUGUAGGGGGCAUAGGAAUAGGCAUAAGGAACUUCAAGAAUUUCACACGACAGGAGUAGAAUGAGUGCGGUAAACAAAUAGUGCUUCUUAUUGUCUUAACUCAUAUUCCCUAGGAACCGUACAAGCCUGAGACCUCCAACUGGAAAGAAUGGAAUUUGCAGGGUUGAGAUAAGAUCUGAUGCUGCCGAGUGGGGGUUAUCCACUCCAUGUGUGAAGCAAGUAGUCAAUAGAGAAUUAAGCAAGUAGUCAAUCUAUCACCUUUGUAGUCGUGUCUUGGCGGGUAGCUGGCUGGGUGUUAGAGAUUCAAAAGCAGCUUCUGGUCUUGGGUGUACGAGAUGAUAAAGUAAGUGUAGUCUCUUUCCCGACUCCGCUAUGGGAGCCGAAUGAAGGUAUCAAACGUAAGAUCUCAAGUCUGGUAUAGGUGUGGGAAGGGCCAAGCUUAGUAGUGGAUUUAUUAAGAAUAGAGUUUACGAACAGGGCAAGCGACUUACCGGCUAGAAUCCCUUUCAUUAGUGGUUGAGAUAUAGGUUCUUCUGUUCGAGGCGAGGAAAUAAGUACUGAAGUCCAGAAUUGCUAUCAAACCGGGUUUCUUAAACUUCCCUUGCCUAGCCAGAGGUACAGGAUAGAGGUUCAGUUGAAAGUCUAGUUCUUGCCCCUUUUAGUAGUGCUCCUGUUUCAAAUCCUUAGUCUGAUCCCAAUAGUAUAGUAGUAAAGAAGAAAGAAAAGAAAGAUGUUAGGAGUUACAGAGUUUGUAAGGGAGUUAAUUCAGUAUGUAUUAGUAAGAGACUGCCUACAGCGAGCUAUGUGUUAGUUGAGCCCUACCCUAGUGAAAGAGUUAGUCUUUGAGUGAAUUAUAGGAGUGAAAGAGGAAAAGUAGAUGAGCCUAAUUCCGUUAGUAAAUAGAAAAUGGUAUCUGCUAGGCUAGGCUAAAGAUUCCUCCCCGACUCAAAGGGGCAAACAACUAAACGACAAGCAAAAUAGUUAGAUGAGAUGGAGGCAAGAACAGAACAGAUGAUAGAAGUAGAUGAGCCUAAUUCCGUUAGCAGAGAGGAGCCUCAGCCCACAGUUCCUUGUCCCGUUACCAAAACCCAGGUGUUUGAGAGUUAUGUACGAGUCCUGGUGUAACCAGGCUUUCUUUUCCUUUUCUAUCGUGAGAACAGAGCCGCCAUUUAGUUCUCAGUUCGCAAGCCGCCAUCGCAGCCGACGCAGUUCCGUCUUCAUUCGAUCUGAGCUCGGUUUCAGUGGUAAGAAGAAUUGGCUCUAUAUCGACUGAAUCACUCUAUCUAAGGGUUCAUGAGGAUAUGUCAGUUCAGCGAGAGAGAACAGAACGGGGUAUAAUACCUUUCUUUACACGAUACUUUAGACUCCACUUUCCACUUCGAUUGAACAAUAGAAUAGGACCAUAAACACUAAGAAUUGAGAAAUGCAAACUAUCCACGCUCCGCCAAUAUGCUAAUAGGUCUCUGCCCCCCAACCAAUAUAUAUAUAGAAAGAAUUCAUUAUAGAAAGAAUGAAUGAACCUAACUUCGGGCUAUCAAGUAUAAGUGACGAUUUGAUGGAGUAUCCUCCGCCCUUUCUCCCCCUGUGUGCUUUCUUUAUGAGAAUGAUGAAUUGGAAUUGUUGCCAUUAUCCUCUGCUCUGCCCCCAGUGUGCUCUUUAUGAGAAUGAUGAAUUGGACAUUCCAGAAGGAGAUCUUGUCACCAAUGGAUAGGUUCUUGUCUGUAGGUAAGCAGACCGUGUAAGCUAGAGUGGCGAUGCAGAAUCCUUCAUUACAGAUCAACUCACUUUCAUUAUUCCUUUCCUUAAAACAGGGCCGCAUCCGUGAUCAGGUCUGAGGGAAGUAGCUCGUGCCCGAGUCAAGGUAUUUGGUUUUGAAAUGCCAUAUGAGAUAUGUGGAAUUCGGGAAGAUACUAUGGUUCUCCUCCAGCAGUAGAAUAGCACUAUAUAGCUCUAUUUUCUCUUAUGGUCUGAGACUAAGGAGAAAGGGUAAACUCAACAAGCAACGGGCUGAGCAACUCUGAGAGCUCCUACCGUUUCGCUCAACAAACAACGGAACGAAUAACUACUAACGACCAAGCAACGGCGCGCCAAGUCACUACGCUUCCCUUUCCUCUUCUCCGGUCUUCUACUUACAACUCGAAACUCCUGCUCUGACCACCUGUUCUCCACUCCAUCUUUAUAGCUUCAUUCUGCCUAGCUCACCUCUCUAGCUCACCUCUUAGUUCAAUCCUUACUUUCCGACUAGCUUACCUAGCUUAAGGAGCUUCGAAGGCUUAACCGAAGAGGCAGUCAAUAGGCCCAGCUACACCUACAAAGGCAAAGAGAGAAAGAAACAUAAGAAUGUAUUAGUAGCAGCUGUUACCAAGUCUCUCCUCCGAGUCCUUGGAAUCUACUUCUCAUAUAAGAGAGAAUGCAAGUGGGAAUUGUUCCAGUUCUCAAGUAAGCACUAACGGGAGCAGAUCUUUUCUCAUGUCCACUAUAGAUGUGAAUAAUAUAGAAUAUAGAUAUAGGUGCCUCGUAUGGGUCCUUGCCAUGUGUUUCGCUCCUUUAGCCCUUACCCUUAAUACAGGUGAACUCUGGAAUUGUACUCGCUCACUACUAGCAGGAUUCCCUCGCUCACUACUCGCAGGAAUAGAAUGAACUACUUUGCUAUCAGGCAAGCAACGAGACUCUACCGGACCCGCCUGUUACUGACUUUAGAGCACCCAACACCCGGCUAAGGAUUGAGUUAAUUAUAUGACAAAUCCUCCAAUGAGUCUUUCACUCCUCUGUCUUGUUCGGAUAGCCUAGAUUUAGCUGUAACUAACUGACUUAUAAAAGAGAGAUGAAAAAGUAAGUCAAGUAAAGUAUCUUUCUGUUCUUGAGCAAGUAAAGAAGCUAGUAGGCGAGUUCAUAAGUAGAAGACCGCUUAGACCUAUAACUGAUUUGCUAAAGUAAGCAGUGAACGCUCCUAUUAACUAAAUGAGGCUUAUCUAACUCCUUGCAACAAAGACAUAUGAAACGUUACUAUUGACCCUGACCUUUUAACGGCAGAUUCUCUCGUUGACUUAACUCGUACACAAAGAGACUCAGACUCCGCUUAGCACACCUCGCGCGUACACUAGAUUCUUUCCCAAGAAACGUCACUUGCAGAAUUGACAACACCACUCGCACUCGCAGCUUACUGACUUUCUACUGUCGAUUCGGGAGCUUAACCUCGCUUAGGAACUCGAUACUUGUAGUUGCUUGUUUCAAUUGGAUGUAGUUGCGUGUCACCCGUAGCUUGGCUGUCGGCGAGUUGCUUCAGCCCUAUAAAGUAUAGUAUUAGUUUUCAAGUUCCAGUUCAUAACUUCAAGGAUAGGUUCGGUUCAGAAUCAUCAAGUGGAGUUCGGAAAUGCAAGUUGAGUGCGAGGUGAAUCUGCUCUCUUUUCUCCUGAUUGCCCGUUGCAUUCUUACUAGCAAAGGUUUGGUUCUGAGUAGCACUAGUAUCAGGCUUGGGCGAGUGGAAGUGCAAUUCUGAUCAAUGUUAGCUCCAUUCCCGAACAACAGUGGUUUCGUUCUGAGUAGCCCCAGCACCAGUCUUAGUAGUCACCGUUUAAGCCUUGGAUUCGCUGGCUUAAGUCUGUCAUGGGCUUAGUUCAUUCUGAGUGGUACCAGCUCCGUUCCCAGUAUGCCCAGCACUUGUUAGAGACUUGGACUCCCUUGUUUCGUUCUAUCACUUAGCAGCUCCCUUCUAUCACUUAGCAGCAUCAGCCUGAGUACCACUAGUUACAUUCUCGUUGGCAGUGCUUUAAGCCUUGGAUUGAUUGGUUUCAGUCUCAGUCUUACUGGUUGCAUUCUUACUUCAGAUGCGGGGAAUCGGUGGGAAUGCGGUGAAUCGGUGCACUCCCUAUAUAGUAGUGGGAAUGCGGGCAAUCGGUGCACUGACUUCAUUCUUUGACUCCUAAGUUCCAUUCUUUCAUUCCUACUUUCAAGAAAGAGCACUCAAUCGGGCAGGCUUGGAGUUAGUGCUUUCAGGCUUUGACUCCCUGCUUGCAUUCUCACUGCCACUGGGGUAAGGCUUGUUGGUAGCAGCUAUAGCCUGUAACUCUCUCGGUUAAGCCUUGGACUCCCUACUUUCCGUCUUGUUGGCACUUGUUUCAGGCUUAGCAGACACCGCUUCAUCCUUUGACUACCUAGCUACAUACCUAGCAGGCGCUGUCUUAGCCUUACACUUACCGGUUGCAUUCUGGUUGUGACUNNNNNNNNNNNNNNNNNNNNUCCAAUGUCACUACUAAUACAAGGGAGCGGUCUUCAACUCAGGAUGAAACUAACUACUACUGAUUCCACUACUCUACCACUAGUUUGGGCAAGAAUGUCACUUUCUGCUAACAGACCUCGAACAAAGCUUUCUGUAUCGAUCUAACAAUGAAGUAUGACUUUCCACCUGUAUCGAUCUAAUAAUGAAGUACGACUUUCUACCAACAGGCUCCCAAAAACAGGACUUGGUUAUCCAUUGCAGAGUAGCGGGAAGGAAACUCCAUUCUUUUAUUGGAACUGAAAGGACACUGUUAGCGGUAAGUCAACUCCAUUCUUAUGAGUUAACCCCGACCCUCCAUGGUGCUGCCUACUUCCUUAUAAUAGAAGAGAAAACUCUCACAGGAACAGGGCCAAGCGCGUAUACUAUAGUUGCGCGGCAGCAGUUAUCUUGUUCAAUUCUAAGUGUUAUACUAGUGGCGAACGAGGGUAUCAAGCAAGCGGGUCUUCAGUGAGGUUAAGGCGUGGGGGCUUGGUUCUUUAAUGAAACAACUCACUCUGUAGUAAAAGAAUUCCACAAGGCAGACUACUUAUUGGGUCUAGUUAGGUCUAGGAAUUGCACUCAGUAUUGACUAAGCACGAAUGAAUAGAGCAGUAGGCAGAACACAGGUGAACUCUGAAACAAACAAGUAAAGACCCAGCUCCAAAGCCCCUGUUUCUUACCAAAGAGUGAAAAGAGGCAUAGGUCGACAAGGGAAGCUAUUCAAGUUGAGGUCGAGGUCCAGUAUCGAGUGUAGUUUCAGAAGACCACUUCUUAUAGUUAGAAGAGUUUCUACCCCUUAUAGUAAAGGUUGGAUAUAGAUACUGGUCAGAUUACUAAUACAUACAUAUAUACUCUAGCUCGAAAGAAAGAAGACUGUCCUGUUUACUCGGAACAAGACUCAGUGAGAGUUGAGGCAAUCCGAUCUUCUGCACUCUCAUCUCAAGAUUCCAUUACAGUUUGACUCUAAGCAAGAACAAGUGAUAGAGUUCCAGAAACAAACUUAGGCUUUAGAAAGGAAAGGUGCGCUUACAGAGCUCAACGUGUUGUGCUAACGGAGGGCGGUAGAGAUUAGUAUUUCCAAUUCCAUUCUGAAAAGGGCGAACAUGAGUUUGUGCCAGCAGUAAGAAGUCGUGAGUUAGCUGGUAGCUUUGUAGUCAAGGAAUCAAUUAGUGAGUCAGCAGUUCGAGAAUCAGCAGCGGAAUUUACUGUUAGAGUAGCAAGUCCAGGAGAAGAAUCCGUGAGAGUGAAGUCAACGAUACCAGAAACAGGAUCUGUGCUAAAGAAAGGUGCUGGCGGGUAUCAAGCAAGCGCUUCUGCAAGUUAAGAGUGCGCAGUCGAGGUCGGCUAAUGUAUAGGAAAGUCGAGUGCAAGUGUCAACAGCAGUUAUGGAAUCAUAGGUUAGGUCGUUAAGCAAUCCGAUCUUCUGCACUUGAUAGAGAAAAUGCAUUCUUUGUUUCAAGUGGAAGUUUUCGUUUCAUAUAAAUACUUUACCACAAGACAUAAUUGACUACUUGCUUCACACAUGGGUCUACUCCCCGGAUACAUAUAGCUAUACAGCAUCACAGUUCUCUUACGACCCUUUCCUUGCUCGCUCUGUUAUCAAUGUCAAUUAUUUGAUAGUUAACAUAAAGGGUAAAGUUCGUCAGCUGCAUAGAGGCUCUCCUACUCCACGGAGACAGUAGCUUCUUUUCUCAUCUCCCAAUAAAGAAUACAGAAUGAAACUGAAACCGAGGAAACCCUCUUAUUAUUGACAGCUUUAGCGUCUUUGCUUUCCUUGCUUCUUUGUCUUUCAAGUGUGAAUUGAACUCACACCGGACUAACGCCAUGAAAACAAACAAGACUCGGGCUACUAUAGGAGUACCCUAGUUUUUCGACUUUUCUUCUUUUCUUCUAUAGAAAGAAAUAAUCUCUUUUCGAAUGAUCAACUGCGUCGGUGCUUGUUGAGUUCACCUUAAGAAAUGAAGGAAGAAUCUAUUUUGGAAUGCUCAUCUCCACUGCCCACUACACUUGUUCGGUAAAGUGGAAACAAAGGGUGAUGAAGGUAAGAAGAAGACAACUUGUCCAUAAGGGCAAGCCAGCCAGAUAUGGUAUUGAAUGGAACUCCUAACUCUGUAAGAAUAAGUAUAAGUAUUAACCUCAACACUCUAAACUCCCGAACACAGGAACUGUUAUAACCGCCAAGCUACAACUAAUAAGGCGCAACUACUUCUCUAUUGACUCAUUGCUCCACACAUGGGUUAUACAACUUGCUUAAUUGACUACAAGUUCUCUCUUUUCUCUAUGACACUCUAUUACAAUUCCAGUUUUCGUCAAGCGUUAGGAGCUACACCGAGCCCUUGUAUGGAAAGAGAGGUUUUUGGAUAAUCCGCAGCGCCGAGGUCAGAUGCCAGAGAAAAUAAAGGAGUUGGCGACAAUAGACCUUUCUUUAAGAAUGGAGUCUAUCCAAUAGUACUGGCUUUGAAGCUAGUUACAGAAUUGAACAGCAGAGGCCCGGAGUGAAACCAGUGAUACUAACUUGAAGAAUGCAACCGGAUAGGCUCGGAAUAGAGCUAGUGGGUAUCAGUCUGAUGCUAUGUAGGCUCGGAAACUAGUGAAUCCAAGACUUAAACAACUUUCAAUCCAGACUUAAGCCAGUGCUAACCAGAAUGAAGCCAGGGAGUUACAGGCUUUGGAGGCAGACUCAGAAUUGAACUCACUUUGGAGGCAGGCUAAGAAUUCCCCUAAGUGGACUCGGGCCAAGUAACGGCCAAGCAACUGGACAAGUCACUACUAAUGUGUAGCGGUAGCGAGUGAAAAGCGGUAGCGAGUUAGGGGCCCUAGUGGUUUGGUUCUAUGACUCCCUGGGUUCAGUCUGUUCGGUGUGAGUUUAAGCCUUGGAACUCCGCAUCAGCCUUAGCUGCAGUGGUUGAAGAAUAAGUAGCACCCGAACUUGACUUGAUAACAGGCUAUUCUUCUCUCGUAGACUUAGAGCUAGAGCACCAACACCCAAAGAGGAUGAUCCGGAGCCUUAUCCUUCUCUUUUGGAUUUAGAGACAAUAACCAUAACUCUCCUUGAAACAAAUCAUUAUGAAACGGAAACCCAUACUUCAUCGACACUGAUUGAAUUCCUGUCUUCAUCGUCUUCGCUAACGGGAAUAGAUCAUUCCUAUCUUAUAUGCGCAGUGGAUAUAGAUUGCAUUAUGAAUACUGUUUUCUCUAAGCUAAACCUAUGUUCAACGACGAAACCCUAGUUUACACGGCACGGCUUCCUUCGCCUUAAUGGCGCAUUAGCUUAUUGACUGAGCGGUUUCUUCUAGCUUUAUUGGAGUCUCUUUCUGUUCAAAUCUUUGUCGUCUAGAUAGGGUGGUUAUUGGCUUUCCUUUCCCUUGUUUCGGGUGCCAGUUCCUUCAUCUUUUAUUGAAUACCAGUUCCAGAGUCACUCAAUCACAAGGCUUGCUAAAGAGCUCGCACCCACACUUGUUGACUUGUUCCUUUGCUUAUGGAAUUGAAUAGGGCGGCUAUACACAUACAGAAUAUCGUAAACAAACACUAGAGCAGAAUAUCGUAAACAAACAGCUUUGCAUCCUUAUCCUUUAAGAGACUCCACUCCGUAUUAUGAAUUGAGUGCACAAAAGAAAAGAGGAGAAAUAAGCGUUCCACUGAUGGAAUCAUGUAAGUGGAAUAUAGGUGAAACAACGCAUAAAGGCCAUAUUGUCCCGAUGUAGUACCCCGCAACUCAUUAUUAUGUUGAUUCCUAAGCUUGUUCCAGAAACUAACUGUGUACUUUAUCGUCCAGCUGCUAUUCCUUCUACUUUACUUCUCUUUCCGCCGGUGGAAUUGACUUUCUAUCCUGGCUAUCGAUCUACCCCUUGCUUGUUUACUAGAAAUAUAUAUAAUGGAUUUACUAGCAGCAUAGCUUUCCUUAUUUACUAGCAGCAUAGCAGCAUAGCUUUCCUUAUUUACUAGCAGCAUAGCAGCAUAGCUUUCCUUAUUUACUAGCAGCAUAGCUUCUAACAAACAAGGGUCCCUUUUGCUAAUGUGAGCUUUCGGGUCGGGGUGCUUACAACAGUUCUUUCCCUCAGAUGGGCUGGGCAUAAGAGAAAUUAGUACAAAAGAAGAAAAUCUAACUCACACAUCUUUAUAGAAAUGAAAGCAUAUUACCACUUCUGUUAUACGAGACUCCUUUCUGGAUAUGAAGACUUAUAAUAUACUGGAACUCCCUUCUUUAGACUAUACUUUGAUACUGGGGACUUUAGACAAGACAAUACUUCGAGCUGUAGGCGUGAAGCUCUGUAGGCAUAGUGUUGAGCUACCUAUCUUGAUUCCCGUGAGCACUAGUGAGCACUUGUGUUCUUUCGAUCUCCCCGUUGCUUCUUGCAUUCAUAUUGAUUUAGCGGGCAGACGAACCCUAUACGUUUGUACUUAUUUAUUCCAUUCCCUCCUUAGCCCUUGCUUGAAAUUCCAUUAUUCUUGAUUUCGGUUCCCUUGCUUGUUGAGUUUGUUUAGUUCUGCACACUUGGGAGCUUUAAUAAUCCCAUUUUGUGCGCUCAUUCUAUAGAAUAAAGUAACAACACCUUACUAUAUCCUCUUGCUUCUUUCAUUUCUUUCUUUAAUGAGUGUGCAACAUAAUCUAAUAUAUGAAGUUCACUGCCUAUUCCUAGAUGUCUAUUCCUAUAUGUCUAUUCCUCUCAGUACAGUCUAUUCCUAUAUUUACUGUUCCUCUCUUUACUGUUCAUUCCUAUAUGUGUAGUCAAUCUCUCUUCUCUCAUCUCAACUCGCUAACGUACUUUGGUGAAAGCGCUAACUCACUAAUGGCUUCCCUAAAGCGAAUUACUUACUUGUGGAACACAGCGUAACUGCUGACACAAACUCACAGCUUUGCUUCAAAACGGAAACUACCUAUUAGUUGCUCGGGUGCUAAGGCUUAUUCUUUUGCUUGAAAACGGACUCCUUACAUAGUAGUUUCAUCACUUAUAUCGGCAAAGGGUGAACUCAACUCGAAAGAAAUCAUAUUUGAGAGCGCUUCCACACAAUAUAGAAUCAAGUAAACAACACUGCUUCCAGUAUAAUGAAUUGUUCCACUGUAGCUCAAACAAAGUAAAGGUAUACGAGUGAAGUUCAAAUAAGUGCUAGUUUCUUCUCUUUUCUUCCUAAGCUUGUUGAAUAGAGAGAGACAAAACAGCAUUGAUUGCAAUGCAAAAUCAUUGAUAUCGCGAUCCUAGUCUUUGCGAACCCUUAUAGUGCCAGCUCUUUGGCAAAGUGAAGUUCGUUCAGUAAACUCUAAAACUCAAUUUCAACGUUUGCGAGUUAGGAGGCUGUUCCAAAGCAUUUUUGCCUCGAACGAAAACGGUAAUGGAACUUGAUUAUUGAAAGCCCAUUAACAGAAAUCGACUUGUAUUCCGUACGACAAGAUGGUAUUGCAGGAGAAGUCAAAACACGAACUCUGCUUCCAAAACCCUAGACUCUCGCUAUACUCAAAUCCAGAGGUACGUACCACCUUACUACAUCUCUCUCCGUAGCACCUGUGCAAAGUACUCUCUCUAUGGUUGUUUGGGUCUUUCUCGGGCCCUUACUUGACUCUAUGUUGGUUGUUUGGGUCUUUAGCAGGCCCUAUUGAUAUAAAUUCCGCCUUUCUUAACUGCGCUCAAGGCGAUGGAUUACUAUUACCAUAAUCUUUGACUUUACUUACCCACGACCGAGUGAACAUCUGUUCUUGAAUCAGUAGCAUUUGGGCCGGGGUAUUCAAAGUGGUGUUCCGGAGAAAGGCCAAAUUCCAAUGAUUGACUCUGUUCAGUUCCAAAUUGGAUGUUCACUGGCUUGGCUUCUUAAUGAUAACUUCCCCGCAAUCCUUCUGAGGUUGAAAACAAAUACUCAAUUGAUUCUGAAUUUCUUAGAGUGGAGACUCCCCUCAUGGGUACUUGAAAUACCUUUCCAAUUAGUAACAAAAAACAAGAAAGCUUCAUAUGCUGUCUCUUAGUAAAAUCUCGUGAUGAUCGAGAGCCCAGCCCCUAUGGUGGAAUCUACACUCAAGUGCGGUCCGUCCCCUUUCUUUAGCAAUAAGGGAUGAGCAUAAGGUCUGGCUGGCCUAUUAAUAAGAUUAUUCUAAUACACAUAUGGGUUUGCUAUUCUAAUACAAAUAUGGCCGUUGCUUGGCCCAAUAAUAACUACUUUAUUGUUGUUGCUGACGCCUUUAAUAAUGACAUCGAUCCUGUCUGUAUAAAUGAAUAGGGUAUGUGCCGGUCAAGAUAAGGGUUUUGACUACUGGCCGAGUGAAGUGGGAUUCAUUCAGGAAAGGCAAAGUGUUUGGCCAUUCAUUAUCUUUAGUGCAUUGGCAAGGUUGAAAUAGCGGAAUUGCAGGUUGGGUAUAGGGCAAGUAAGGUCUUAACUGGGGUCGAAAGCGAGCGGGUUUAAUGCAACAAAAGUGCUUAUUCCUGCGAAUACAAGGUGAAUGAAUGGGUCCAUUACUUGAGAAAUAGCAUCUCCCAACAAAAGGUCUAUAAAUCGGGAGCUAUAGCAAUAGGUUCCUCAUGAGCGUAUGGACACUGGUGAUAGGCCGGGAUCUAAUAAGUCAGUUAUCUAGUCUAAAGAAAGCAAAACGUAAGUAAGGUCAAGAAAGAAGAAGCUUAGUCCCUACUUUGUGGAGCCUGGCCUGCCUUUUGGCCCGAUUCUACCAGCGCAGGCAAGUGGGAGACGAAAGCAAUGCACGCGACAAGAUUCAUUAAUUAUUGGGGGAUUAUAUAAGAGUGGAUUCGUGAACAACCUACUUUAUUCAGUCAGCACGUAGUAUUAGGUUAUUAGUGGAAUUUCAAGGUUCGCUUUCGUACGUACAAUGUCAUUGGUUGCUAUACUAUAGCCACUCUUCAUGACGCUUAGCUUUGAUUUCUCUUUCUUACUGGGGCAUUCUUAUAGCUACUAGAUUUCAGAAUAAAUGAAAUAAGAGAAGCCAAUUACGAACAGGGCGGUCCUUGCUAACCUCUUAUGAUCCUCCUAUCUCCGAGCUCUUCAAUCGAUUGCCUUUCUUUCUAUUCUAGUAGACCCAACCGGCGGUAGGCCCUAUUCUCGUUACUAUUCUAUUUCUAUUCAUUCAAAAGGUCUUGUCUUGGCUCAUUGCAAUUAAUUCUUCCAUACCAUGUUUUAUGACAAAAGGAAGCUGCCUCGACCCGUACAAAUGCCUCGCUAAGCUGGUUAGAUAGCCAGUUCAGUAUCCUCCAAAUAAUGGUAGACGUCUAUCUCCUAUACCUUCUAGCCUUACCAUUUCUAUGGUCUUACCCUUUCCCUUUAGCUUUGGAAGAAGAGCAAGGAUGGGAGGGAGAACUUGAAUGCGCUAUCCUGAGAGCUAUAAAUAGAAAUGCUGACCGGCAGGAUGAAAUCAACUAAUCCAAAAAGGGCUCUGAAGUUCAAGUUGGAGUUGGUUCCACUAUAUUGGAUAGGAAUUGAUAGGAAUUAGUUAAAGACUGCCUGCUAGUAAGUGAGGCAAUCGAUAGGAAUUAGUUAAAGACUACCUGCUAUGCUUGUAAGUGAGGCAAUCGAUAGGAAGGCUAACGGCGAGGUGCCAACUAACCUUUGCCCUGUAUCUCAAUCAAUCAAUGGGGCAAGUAAAGGCAUCUCUUUUCUUUCUCGACGAGUCCUCGUGACCCAAACUCUAUUUCUUCUGGCCCAUCCUUCUCUAGCCAGUGAAACCUAUAGGCGGGGCUCAUCGGCAACCGGUACCAACAUCUCUUCUUUCUUCUCAAUAGCAUAUGUAUGCCCCAGACUCUAAUUUGGGGAUUUCUCUUUUAGGAUGUUCAAGAUCUUUAAGGGCGCGCCUUAUUCUAAAGUCAUUUAUUGAGUCAGAUCCAAAGUAGAAGCUAUCCCCGAAGAACAUUGAUAGAAAGAAUGGAAUGCUAGUGUUUUUGCCUUAGACGGUCUUGUCUUUCUCUUUAUUUGUGAAAAUCCUAUCCUAUAUUCUAUUAGAAUGAAUGUGGUCAAUUCCACUAGAUUGGGAAACUAGGGAUUCUUUUCUGUUUUCUUUGAUAUACAAUGCUCUUCUAUUUGCUCUUGCUAUCGAAUCCCCUCUUCUCUUUCUUUGAUAGCCAACUUUCCCUGAGAAAAAGGCACUAGCUCGGGUUCUUUUACAUCGGCUUAGGUUCUUUGAUAGAAGCGGAUGGCCAUACGAGAAUUUCCUUCACAUGAAAAAGGAUCUUCUGUUGUUUAUGCAUAGGUACAACAAGAUCGAUGAUAAUAAGGAUAAUAAAGAGCUAGAGGAAAGCAGGAGAAGUAUAUGCGAUAAUAAAAGGGGGCUUAAUCGAAUGAGUAAUAUAUAUCUUUCACUGAAUGGAUGAAUCUGAUUCCCCAAAUGAGGGAGUAGCUUAGCAUCCCUAUUACCCUCAGGAAGAUAGGUGGAGAGAAAAGGCAGAGUGUCGGAGGGCACUGAUCGCCGAUCGGACCUAUAUGUAAGAGUACUAGACCCAUCAAAAGAGUACUCUUAGUCAGAUAGAUUGUUCCUCGAUCUGAUAACUCAGGGGCAUCAUACCGUUCUGAGUCUGAGUCUAAUACGCCGUAUUAUGAGCAAGCCAAAGAAAUCGACUCUGGCUCCAGUCUCCAGUAUUGUUAUACUAGGCUCUGCUUUCAAAGCCUUAUCCAAAAUAACUGCUUCACGGUCGGGGCCCAUACCCUGUAUAAAAGCUAGUUACCCUCACUUUAUUUACCUUCCCCUCCACUCUAAGACUAACUUGCAGGAAUGUGAUUCAAUUGUAAUUCGUUGAUCUUAUCCUUUAUGUAUUUGCCAGGAAUGUGAUUCAAUUGUAAUUCGUUGAUCUUAUCCUUUAUGUAUUUGCCAGGUAUGAAGGUCCCUCAGUAAAGGUUGUUCUCCUUGAAUACAGCUUCCCGUAGAGAAGACCGAACCCAUUUCUGUAUUUCUUAAUUCAGACUCAUCAUGCAUCACCGGCCUUUACCAUAUUCCUUUGACUGUCCAGUCCAAAGAUCCAUUUACAUUAGAGCAGGUCUUCUGUCGGCCUUCUUUCCAGUAUUUGGGCAAGCAAGUAAGAUAAAGGUGGCUUAGCUGGCAAAGGUUUCCGUUUUGGCUUUCUAAAGUACAGUGAAGUUCCAUAUUGAUUUAGACUUUAUGAAAGAUAGAAAGAAAGAGAGAUUCCCGCUUUCAUUAAACAUUGAUGAACUCGGGUAGGAAUUUUGUACUAAAGCAAAAGAAGUAGAAGUGUUGAUAGAGCCUGUUUCUCUCGCGGCAAAGCUCAUUAGACGAAAAGAAAGAAGAUAGGAUUGUCAGAGAUUUGAGUGGAAUAGAGUGAUUAAGCACUUAUGCCCGGUGUAAGCACGUAUGCUUUAGACUAAGAUAUUUCCAUUUGGAGACAGAAGGUUAGCAAGUCGGAUGUAUCCUAGCCCUGUAUGUUAGAAAAUCCGCUGCUAAAGUGAAAGUAGGAAUGCCGGUUCUUGGUAGAAUGAUAGAAUGCAUGCUUCUGCUUCUUAGACCAGGAAUGCCAUCCAAUCAAUACUAGAUUAUUGCUGCCUAUCUAUCCAAUCUUGACUAUUGACUAUAUUAUUGCUGCCUAUCUAUUAUGGUAUGGCUGGGGAAUUGGCCUCCAUGGUUUCGAGGACCCGUUGGUUAAGAAGAGGAAAGCGGCUUUCAAAGUACCAGGCUAAGCGGAAGUAACCCAUGCCAUACUCCCAGGAAAAGCUCGAACGACCUUCAACCAACACAGAUGAGUCUCCAAUCUCUAAGCCAAGGAAAGAAUCAGGGGCUUAUAGACCAGCUUCUCUACUUUCCCUUAACUUGACGCCUGAAGCCUGUCCAAGGGCCCCCGGAAACCGUGAAAAGUCAGUGGUCGAGGGAUACCUUGGAUCUUACCCCCAAAAUCUCUAUUGCUGCUUUCUUCUUUGAAAUGUUGGAAAACCAACCCUACUAACUAUUCCUUACUCAUCCUUAUUUCCAUUGAGUUUAGGCGUGGGUGUUCGAAUGAAUGAUUUUAUGCUUUCUUGACUAUGCUGUGCUCUCCUGUUGGAUCGCUUUCUUUGGUUGGAUCAAGGGCGCCACCACUGAAUCAGGCGGGCGGGGAAGUCAAGCAGUAAUAUAGAGAUGACCAAUACACUAUUCAAGAAGAGCAAAGAGGUUGUUAGUUAUUUAGUUAAUGGGUAAUCAAUGAGUAGGAGUUGCAUGGGAUGGAUCAACGAAGCGGACGACUACCAAUUCUCCAUUUGCCUCAUACCAGAUUUGUCAGAUAUUACAUUUAUUCGUUAGAUUGAAAUAGGGACCUUUAUCAUAGGGGAAGUCCCACAUUAGUAACAUGAUGAUAUGGCCCUUUCCACCUUCGGAAUGAGCACCAAGAAAGAGGAUGAUGUGUAAGCUUUCGGGAGGGAGAUCCUCUCUUAGCUAAUGUAUGCUCGAUAUCAGAUAUAGUGGGCUCGCUUCUCUUUGGGUGUGAAGCUACUGCCUAUCUAUUCUUUCCCCUGCAGUAAGUAGGCAGAAGCAAGCGCGAUUACCCUUUUCCUUUUAUUGUAUAUCCAGCAAGUAGUGAUACUUUCCUUAGAGCAGUAGGGCUGACGGCUUGAGAUGAGAGUAGCUCGCUUAUAAUAGUCCGAUAGUUUCCAGUCUUAAAGCAAGCGGUAUGAUUCAAUCCUCUUUACUUAUUUUCUUUUAAGCACCUUAGAACCCUGUCCCCCCUUUUAUAAAACAAACUAUUUCAUUUAUAACCUAUCCAAAUAUCCAUAGUAUGAGAAAAACCUAUCUAUCACAAUCAAUUUCACCUCAGCCAUUUCUCGACCAUAAAUAAGUCCGUGGAAUCUAAGUCAAAUCACUCUUUCCAGCUAGCCCCCAAUAGUAUUCCCCCACCACUUUUCGAGUUCCAAAUAAGGGACUAAUCAAAAGAAGGGACUAAUGGAAUAAGUUUGAUUUCAAGUGUCUAGGCCCUUCUCGUCUUUGCGGAUCUUGCCCCCAAGGAGUCCCCGGAGAGUAAGGAAGGGAAGAUAAGAGAAGAUCGAUAGUGGGGCACGCCCAGAAACCAUUGAUUCUACCAUUAUAUAGUUAUGUAUAAGACUCUUGGAAAUCAAAUACUAGUUCGCAAGUCACAGGUCAAGUACGCUUGGAAAGAAAGAAAGAUCCGUUUGGUCUUCAUUGGAAAGAAACAUCUGUUUGGUCUUCAAUAGAGUGGAAAGAAGAGACGAUAGUCACAGACCUUACAAGCUGCUGGUAAGAGUGCCCAUUCGUUUCAUCUCUCUGAAAUAAGGGUACCGUACCUGGAUUUAUGUCUUAUUAGUGGGUUUCCCCUAGUAACAAGGUAUAAAGUCAAGUAUUUCCCCCUUUUUCCAUGUGUUUCAUAAGCCCCGAUUUAGUAUGCCUAUAGUUAGAAUCAAGUCAUCCAGGAUUUAGUAUGCCUAUAGUCAGAAUCAAGUCAUCCAGAAAUCCACCAAGGUUUUGAUUCUCAUUUAAGUGUCCAGUGGAUUUUGUUGCUUUCGGGCUAGCUUUUGCUCCAUGUUCCAAGAGAGUACGCCUGCCAGCGAGUAGUUCGUCUUGCCAUACCCCUUUUUGACUUUCAAGGACGGAUUUUCAUUUUCCUAGAAUUUAGAAGAUUUGAGAGAGGAUCUAAUUCAUCUUUAGAAUAUAAGAGAUAAGAUCUAAUUAAUCUAUAAUAGAUAUUAAGCACAUUCCUUAGUCCCUAAAGCCAACAAGUUUGAAGCCGGUUAGGAAAGAAAGCGUUACUUUAAGUUCAGAAAAGAAUUGAGGAUUACCCGCUUGCAGCAACAGAACAAGUAGACUCCACUUUCCCUGAACUGAACGAACUUUCAACUUCACCUUUUGCCUCAAAAGAACAGAAUAUGGAAUUUCCUCGCCAGGCUUCCUCUGGGCUGGGCUUCUUUCUAGAAACUACGAUGAAAGUGGAACUGGGCCAACGGAAAACUAUACAUCAGGCAUCACUUAUUCCAUAUACCGCGCUUCAACAGCUCGACACCGCUACGUUACUUGAGACAAAAGUCGCAUUAACCCUAAGUAGGGCCUGGUAAAGGAAAGGGAGAAUGAAUCAAAUAAUAUAAUCAUAUAAAUAACAUACGAUAUAGAAAAACACACCUCAAUUAUGGAAUAUGGGGUUGAAUAGAAUUAUAUGAUUGGAAUUUAGGAAGCCGGUGUGCUAACGCUUAUUUGAGCGGGGUGCGCCAAUCACAGUAAGUCGCAUUUCGAACGAAGUGAAAGAUAGAGAGGGAUGUAAUAAGCAUUAACAGGGAGAUGCUUUAGCUUUAUUUGAGUUUAGGUGCUUUAGCUUUAAUAAGGGAAGUCAGGCAAUAAGUCUUAGCUGCUUGCUGUGUUUUUACUAAGUUGUUCUAUACUAUUCCACAAUUCCAUGAUAUUUGAUUAUUAAAGCCGUUGUCGUUGCGCAUUAGCUCUUAUUGGCUACGAGAAGGGCUUACUUGAGCGGGUUGGUGCCUCAAUCCAUUCUUUUAUUUGAACACAAACAAGUGCUUUUUAGAGUCAAGUAUGGAUAAAGAGCGAUCAGAGGUUCGCCUGCUGAUACAGAGUAUUUCUAGUGUUGUUACUAGAAUCCAGUAGUUUUCUACUUUUUCAAUAAUGAUUUGAUUGGGAAUACAAGUAUCCUUGUUUGCUUGUUAAAAGCGUCUCAUAACCCAUACUAACUAAUACAGCUACGUGGGGGAAGAAUCCAAUCCGCUUUUUGUUCAAAGGAGAUAUCUCCCGAGAUUAUUGGAUUCUAGUAUAAAAGUAAAGUCAAGCAAGGGAUUCGGUUAUUGUUGCGAUUCUCUUCUUUAAGUAAUAAGUAACAGGGAAGCCAAGCCGGACGUUUGUGAGUUAAGCGAGUUAGAGGGGCUUCAGAUCUUGCCUCUAAUCCUUGAGUCAGUAGUGAGUUUAGUCUUUACAUGGAUCUUAGCUACCUUUUCAAUGCCAAUGCCUGUUAAGUAAGAUAUAGUCUGCCCCUAACCCUAACUUUCACCUUUCCCUCAGCAGUUGAGAAUUCUGUUCCGAGAUACUUUACCACAUUAGCUUCAGCAGUUGAGUAUGAAGGAAUACAAUAUAGUGGAGUUGAAAGCGCAUGGUAGGCGAUAAAGAGCAAACAAUCUCUAUUGGUUAGGUACCAAUUUAUAUUCUCCAUAUCCAUUAUUAUGUAAUCUAUUAUUAUCCAUAUCUAUUAUUAGAGAAUCUAAGUUUAUAGCUUAUUGUUCCGGCAAAACUCCUAUCGCGUUCAACUCAACCACUUCUAACUGCCUGGUAAACUCUACCUGGUCAACUCUACCUGGUUAACUCUACCUGCCCUAGCACCUACCUACUCAAUACUUCAGUAUUCUACCUUACUCUAACAGCAUUAGCCACAAAUAAUUCUUCCACUUCAACAAGAACAGCGGAUUCUUGAUACUUUGGACUCUGAUUCUUAUUCCCGCUACGUGUGGGGUCUAUGUCUAUACCAUAAACCUUUCUUUUCUAGCGCUUCUGAUCCCGAUCCAGCUUGAUUUAGAUCUUUCUCCAUCUUUUGAUCCUUCAUAUGCUUAGGCCUAUGAUUCUUUGUACGAUUCCACUCAUUUACUUGCGCCAACAAACAAAGAGAAAAGUCAAUCAAACACUUAAGAGUCAAGAGAUGCUUCAUAGCUACUUGGGCAUUCUGAAAGAGGAGAUUCGGGUCCUGUGUCUUGUCUUAGUUUGUUGUAAUUGCUUGUCGGAAAGUCUACUCGAUCGGAAGAAGAAAGUACAGGUGUAGCAGCUAGCUAUAAGAAUCCAAGAAGAAAGUACUUGCUUUGAAGCAGGAAGCGUAGUUAUUGUGGACGGAGUUCAAGGCUUUCCCUUUGUUGUCGUAUCUAGAACUAUAAGCUCUGUUCGGUAAAGAAGAAAGUAAGGGUAUCAUGCAAACGGUUUCACAAGUAGAGUUAGGGCAAUAAGUUCUUCUCGUGGAGAGUAAGGAGCAAGUCUGGGGAUGGGGGGUAAAUUCCCUAUGUAGCGCUAAGAGAAGAGAUGAGUACUACUUAUCAUUUCGGUUAUAAUAUCGACCAGAUCAGCAGGAUCCGGAGAACGAUCUAAAGUAGAAGAAAGAAAGUCGACAUCAACGAGAUCAGGAUCAGAUAAAGCAGUUUCAAGGAAGUCAGCAGCAAGCGAAGGAAGUGGGUCUUCGUGCUUUUUCUCAUACAAGGAAGCUAGGUUAAGUGGAGAAUGUGCUUCUAAAGCUCCCGGUUAAGUGGAGAAUGUGCUUCUAAAGCUCCCGCCUCAAGAGAGGAAACAGUUGCUUAUAGUUUCUUUCUGGUCGAGUGUAAUCGUAUAAAGAAGACAGUUAGCCCGCUACACUAUCCAAUUUUGUAUCAAGUAAGUCGCGCUUGUCUAGUGGAUCUCGUAACCGUAGCGCUUGUCUAGUGGAUCUCGGUGUUGGCGCUAACCCGCUCAAAGUAGUAGAGUUAUGGUCUUCCAAUUCUAGUUACGUUCUAGUUGUUGGCGAUGAGAGAGAAAGAAGUUCAUCGGUUAAGUAGAGUUGACAGCAGCGUUCUUCUAGUGUUAUAGACAAGUUUCUUUCAGGUUCUUGUGUCAUUGUCUACGAUAGAAUCUAUAAUCCCUCAGUUGGGCCGUAAAGUCUCUUCAAUUGCAUUUCGUCUUAAUAACAUAAACCGUUGUCGAAGCCUAACCCACCCGUUCGCUUGUCUUUAUCGUUACCCUCGUUCGCUUGUCUUUUUCGUGACCUUAAAGCUUCAGGGGUACAAAAUUCCUAACCAAGUAUCACCUCGCCGAACGAUCAAGUAUCUAAGAGCGUUUUCCGCACAUAAGUCUUUCUCAGUUGUUAUAGCACUUUUAGGGCUUCAUGAGUCGAUUCAGAAUCUUAGGUUCUCACUUCACUUGGCGACGGACUUGUCCCACUCCUCGUAAGUUCAAGCCCCAGCCCCCCAAGGCACUCCUAAUGUUGGGCGUGAGGUCUUAUUCGCUAGUACAGAUGUUUCUCAAUAUCCUUAUGCAUCAUUCAAUCAAUCAAAAUGAUGUUUAAGUUGUCUGUAUCAGCGGAUGGGAGACCAAUGAGAUGACUCAUACAAAUAACACGGGAUGCAAAUCUAAGAAAGAAAUAUCAUAUUAUCGUAGAAGAAACUCAUAUUAUAUAAGAGUAUUAUCGUAGAAUAGUCAAUUAUAGAAAAUAGAAGUAUGUUAGGUAAAACAGCAAACGGGUAUUCCACUAUUCGUUCAAGAGGUGCUUCCUCAUAGAGAGGGACAGUUGAAACUGCACGAUCAUCUUAAAGAAUUGAUGAUUUUGGAAGUGAGAACAACUACACGAGAUGGUACAAGACGAAAUGAUAGGAGAGGUAAAGCUUUGGAAGCAUGAGAUGGUCUUGAUCUUAGUUGGCUGGGAAUUGGUAAUAAGAUUAGUUGCACAGCGGUUAAACGACGAAAAAACGAAUGAUUAGAAUGCUUGUAGAGCAAAGUAAUGAAACGAUUGGAAUAGAAGAUAGGGUAUUCGAUCUACAAUGGGCGAGUUACUGGUAGAGCGGAAUACAGCUGUAACAGUACUUACGCUCGUGUUGAAGUCAGCAGAAAUCAAUUGGACCAUCUGAUACAACGGGCGAGAAAAAUACGAGGUCCAAUAGGAGAAAAAUAGAAACUCCAAACAAGCAGAAGCGCGCCGGGAGGAAAUGGAUAAGGGUAAUUGUACUACUCGAACUUUACUGAACUUUCCAAGCCUAUACACAAGCACCGACACCUAUACAACUUUAGCACCCAACCCAAAGCAAAGAAACUCUACUUUAAGACGAAAACAAUACUUUCAGUGACUUCCCAAUAUCUUGCAGCUGAAGAUCUUUAUCAGGCUUCCUCUCUUGUUGGAGACUUCCUACUUGUAGCGGACUUUGCGCUUGCAGUCAAAAAGAUCGGACUAGCUUCUUGCCUUGCACCGAGGAAAACAUUAAUGGAUUUUUGAGCAACCGGUCCUGGUAUAGAUAUAAGUAAGUCAACUGCUUCCCUUGAAGAGAUCUUAGUCCAAUAACUAGGCCAAUAACUUAACUCGAACUAGGAUUGCACGGAACUGACAGAGACUCUAAACCAACACUGGAAAUUCCCUUCCGCGGUAAAGAACAGGAACUACAUUUGAAUCUGGAACAAUACUUUAUUAACCGGUUGAUGCAGACUUUGGCACUGCUUAUUAUCCUGUUUAUGAUCGUAAUUCCAAUCCUUCUAUUGUCGACUUGAAUGGAGACUUGGACACAGAGAAGAACUUGCUGCUUCCUUUAGCUUUAGCGCUUACUUUGAAACAGCGGAUUCUCUUACAGCACGCAACACCUCUAGUAUAUCUUCUAUUAGAUAAGUGUAUAUAACCUCAUAGAAUAUUAUAAGCUUCCAUAUGAUACUGAAACGGAAACGGAAACAGGAACCGCAUCCGCUGAAGCCACUUUGAAUUCCAUAACUUUCCUGGACACCGAACUUCUCUAGCCCGGCCUUUAGAGUCAUUCGCGUUAGCACUUAGUCUUGAUCCGAAGUAAACAAGAAUUGACAGUUGAUCGAGCGCCGAAGAGAACAGAACUCACAUGAACUUGAAACUUCCCUUUCUGCUUCGAUUGCUGCUUCAUCAGAUACAGCUACUGCGGAUUCAGAUCUUUCUCUUGAAACGAUAACUACACUUUCAGAACCAACCGUACUUUAACUCGCGCCCCGUCUUUUCAACAAGAAAGGGAACCAGAGGGAAAGGGAAUCAAGAAGCUCACAAGGAAAGCUACAAUAGCCACGCUUGCUAAUCGACAUAUUCUUAUACAAUACAAUAGGGUGGAUGGAAUUGAGGCGAGAGAUGAAGAGGACGGAUGGAGGUGGAAAUACUGGCAACCUAGAAGGCAGAAUUCUAGUUCAAGGGAGUACUCACGCUUUGCAAUCGGAUGGUCACUUUACUCUCUCUAUGAUAGUUUAGUUAAUAAGUUAAUCCAGAAAGCAAGGUCCUAUCCUAAGCUCAAAUAAAGUAUCGGAAAGAAUAUUCCAUGAGAAUAAGUAAUAGUACAUAUGAAGCUAAGUCUCCGGGCGGGGGCGAUGGAAGCUUUGACUUUGAGGCCAACUUAACUAUAGGGCGAUGGAAGCUUUGACUUUGAGGCCAACUUAACUAGAUAGGGCCAACCCAUUGUAAGAGUAUGAAGCCAAGCAGCUUGAAAGCUUCCGGAGAAGUAGAAACUCCAUCUAGUAGCUCACCCGCUUGCUAGCUUCAGGCAACAGAAUCAAUCUAGUAGGCUCACCUGCUUGCUCGCUUCAGUAUCAACACAGAAUCAAUCUAGUAGCUCAACGGCAGUUAUCAAUACCAAAUCUCUAUGUUUAAAGGUUGGUCCUCAACAGGAAAUAUUGACUCUGUUGUGAACCGCUUCUAAUAAUCGAGAAAACAAGCACAUAGAUUAGCCGCAAAGCGAGCACGGGAAUCUUUCCCUGAAGGCUCAAUGUAAUAUGUAUAGAGUUAUAACUCAGAGAAAGAAGAAUAGUGAAAACUCAGAAAGGUAGAUGCUAUAUUAUUAAUCACUUAGAUAAGGCAGCAAGCAAUGUUAUUAAAGUAUGAGACAGAGGACGAACGCAUAUAUACCAAGCCCGCACAUACUGCACCUUUCAAGAGAGUAUGCUUUAACUGCACCUUUCAAGAGAGUAUGCUUUAGUAAGGCAGGCAGGAUUAGCUUUCUAAUGGUAUGAUGUUGUUGGGCUUCCUAUAGGACUCGUUCUUACCAUAGCCCCGUGCGUUAAUCCCCUACUGCCUCGCUUUCUAAAUGCACCACGGCUGAUCCGAAAUUCCAAGAAGUGAUUGCUUUUUCUCUUUAUCACUCGAAAACCAAAUGCAGUGAGCUAAGUGAGAGAAAUAGGUAAUGUUGACCAAGAGUAACGGACUACGCCAGCAAGCACGGAUGAUGGUUGGUCCAAGAAAGAAGAAAUCUCAUUCAAUCACCCAAUCACUAAGCUACUAUGCUAGUUUUCAAAGCCUUCAAUCACCCAAUCACUAAGCUGCAGGUUUUCCAUAGAAUUUCCUUCCAUUACCCUGACUCUUUAUGGACUCCUUCUUUAGAUCCUUCCAUUACCCUGACUUUUGAUGGACUCCUUCUUUAGAUAGGUUCACUUCACACUCCAUAAUCUUGGAGGGCCUGUUUAUGGACUCCUAAUGCAGAUAGGUUCACUUCAGACUCCCGACUCUUAUUGCCUGCCUGAUUGCCAUUACUUUAUAGAUAGCCUUAUGAAGCGCCCUGCCCAGUCCUUGAACAUGGGUUAAACGACUCUUAUCGCCUUAUUGACUGCUUUCCCUUAACCGAGUUGUGCUAGUUCUUGAGCGGGUGCGGCCCAUAACUAAGGCUUAUUUGUUUGCUUGAGCGUGUGCGGAACCUUACUGCGGAUUCCUUAUUCUAAGUUAUCAAACUGCGGAUUCCGGACUUCAAAACUCACUUAUAACACACAACUCCUUCCCUUUUAUACUUAGACGAACUCACGUUAGCCCUUUUGUUGAAUGGAAUCUCAUGCACAUAUAAAGGAGGAGAGUAACCUUUACUUAAACUAACUACUAAGGCAUAAGGGUUCAAGAAUAUAGGAGAGUAACCUUUACUUAAACUAACUACCAAGGCACAAGGGUUCAAGAAUAUCUAAGUAUGUGCUCUGACUUAAAAGAGGAGCAUUGAGGCACCCCUUGAUACUCGAAUAAGCAUGAAUUCUAGUGAUAGGCAUCCAGAUACUCCAAUCAGUAUUCAUUAUAGUGAGCGGUGAAAGUAAGCGCUAACUCUUAACACACUAUGGAUAGGAAUAAACCAAAACAAACUACAGUACUUCGUUUUGCUAAGGAAAAGAAUCGAAUGCUAAUAAUCAGUAGAGAUUGCGGGAUAUGGGAAUGGAAGGGAUGUGAAAAGGUAGAAAAGGCCAUCUCUCCUUUUUUUGUCUGUCUCAAGAGCAUUAGAAAGAUUCGUCCCGGGUCGGGUCCCAGGUGGUUUACGACUCGCGCUGUGGUACUCUGACGUGUACGUGCUGGAGGCAGGAGAAGAACAAAAGGGAGAGGGAGCCCCGCUGAUACUUUCCAGUUUUUAGCGUUCGUAGUUCGUAAAGGAGGAUAGAACGGUUUACAUUGAUUGUGGUAUAGGGUUUACAUUGAUUGUGACUUUAAUACAGAAACUCGUGUCCUUAUGAGAAGCCAAUGAAAGAAAUGCAGUAAUAGAUUCAUUUCAUACAUAAACUCGUUCUUAUGAAAGAAAUAAGGUAAUAGAUUAAUGGAAUGGGAACCCAUUUCGAAGCGAAGCUCUCUCGAAGCACAAGAAGGAAGGUAGGCGGGGAAGGACAGAAUAGCCGCUUUCCACUUCAGGACUACGCAACACGUGAACUGAACCCUCUAAACGCCUUAAUAAGGGGCGCUACACUCCAUCCAUACAUAAAGGUGAACAACUCUAUACUAGUUUCAAGAGGAUCUACUACGGAAUCUGCUAAAACGGUUCUAAUGAGUUUCCUUACUCUUUAUUAUCUCAAACAACGAGCAAAGUGACGGGCGCACCUGUUGCAUGAUCCUGGAGACAGUCUAUGCUUCUUUUUCUCGUCUUUCUCCUCUAUUCUGAAUUGAUUGACUAUUUGGACUUUGUCAAAGAAGAAGCUUCGCUUCCUCAUUCUACUUUACUGAAAGCGCAGCCAUUUCAUUUGCUUUGCCAGUCUCUCCAAUCUAAAGCAAGAGAUUCAUUAUCCAGUUAAAGCUGUGAGUGUCGGGUGCCAAUCUAAUUCUCCAAGACUUGUAACCGAGCAUCGUUAGCAGCAAUUGGAUAGGGUUUCGUCUUUGAACCACCUGGUUUAGGUUUACAGUGGUAUUGUUUGUGUUUCAGUCUGCAAGGGAAGCAGUUAGGUAACAUAAUUCCCUCAGUGGUGCUCGAGAUAUAAAUAAGUCGAAAUAAGAAGUCUUUGUGUUCUCUGCGCCUAGUACUCCUUUAGUUUGAGGCGGGCUGGGCUCUCAUUACAUCAUUAAUCCAUAAUUCCUGUUUUCUGUUGCAAGUUAAAGUACAGGUCCACGACCAAUCUGUUAAGUUGAUUAUGCAAAGGGUCAUAUUCUAUCAAGAUACUUGCCGUAAGAAACUAGUGCUGUUGUCGGUUAUCCAAAUGAAUGAGUUUCUUCGUAUAUAGAUAUGGAUGCUGUGCCGAAUUAAGCUGUUAGAGCAGUGGAAGAGGAAGCAUAAUUGCCAGUUACAGUUGAGUCUCCGAGCCAGUUACAGUUGAGUCUCCGAGAGAAGAAAGGCCUGUUCAAAAGUCAUUUACUCAAGAAGAAUCUAAAGCAUACGUUGCACUUGCCAGAGGCGGAAUGACAAGUUUCCGUUUCAUCUAUAAGAUCAUCUCUUGGCGAAUGAGUGCCCACAACUAGUCCUUUCUUCGUAGUCAUCUUAAGCAGUGUGAGCUCACCGUAUGAAGAGUAGAGAUCAGUAGAGUAUAUUUCUGUUCGAGGUUAAGAGUAGAGAUCAGAUCUUAUCGAAUACCAACGUUGCAAGGAUCUACUCAUUGCGCAAUAAACAAGUGCUUUUCUCGAGGGUCAAAUGCCUUUAAAGAGCCAUAGGGGUAUUAAUAGAUGUGUGACCGUUGUUUCCCAUAGCAUAGGUCCAAAUUCCCAGAAAGAUGCCUUUUCUCGAGCGCGGGGCACUGGUAUAUCUCAUUAUUAAGCAGGAAGGAAGGGUGUCGAAAAGUGUCUAAACAGGGAUUCCACUCUUACAGGCCAUUCUUAUGCUUCAUAUCUUUUACCACUGGCUCCAACUCUAUAUUCGAGUUCCGACUAAAACAACUAGUUGGACUUCUUCUCUUUUCACUCAAAGAUAUGUUUCUUCUCUCUAGGAUUUCUGUUAAGUUCUUGUUUGUUUUCUUGCACGUUCACUUUGGAUUCUAAAAUAGGCCUGGACGCUUACUCGUACGCACCAUCUAUUAACCUUUGUUUCAUUUGUGUCAGUAGAAAGGGCGAGAACAAGUGUAUGAGUGUAAGUUGAAAGAAUUAUUUGUGUCCUCUGCGCUCGAAAGAGCAGUAAAAGUAUUUGUGGAAUUUAUGGUUUCUAGUUUACUAUACUAUAGAUUUAGUCACAGGGGGAAGUAUAGUAUAUAGCUUAAAUAGUCCGUCGUCCAAGUAAGGAUGCAGGCUCAAGUAAGAGGUAAGUCGCAUCCGCUGCUCGAGUGUUGUCUACUGGAUCAGAUGCUGUGCUUUGAAAUGAUGUUCUACAGUCCCGUUCGGAUGCUCAGUCUAGUUCGGGUACACGGGUGUUGGAUCUUCGGCAGUACCAGUUCAAUCCAGGUUCGGUGCUGUAGCUCAGCUCCUUGUACAGAAUACAGGUAGAUAACUUCUGCCAGCGCCAAGUCAAUGAGUGGAAUCCCGAGUUUCAUCCUAUAUAUAAGAAGAAUAGGGAACCCAGAUCUUAAGCUUGAUCAUCAGCAGUUUAGUAUCAAGGUGUUGUCGACUCCCUUCUCGCUCUCUUAGUCCGUUUCUUCUCCAUUGUAGUUGUAUAUUAGACUCUUAGUAUAAGCCGAGGAUUCCAUUUAUUAGGUCUCCACCACUAUUACAGACUCAUCUUCUAUACUAGGGCUAGAAAGUGAUAUUUGGAUGGAAUUGUCAUGCCGUAGAACAUACUUUCGGGUACCCCAAUUGUGUUUAGGAUUUGCCAUUCUCUAAGUUCACCCUGGAUGUGAUGAAACAAGAGCAAGAGACUUAUAUGGACUCCGUACCGGGGCUCGGGCUCCUGCCGUGCAACAAGAACAACUGCCGCGCAACACACACUAAGUUGAAGCUCCUUUGGACAGGCUCGGACACAUUGAGUACACCCUAUACAUGUAUAAGAAAUCCUUACUUAAUGUGACAUCGGAUCUAUCAUUUUGGAAAGACGGGCAGUCCUCACGUUAUUGAACUCUUGUCUGUCAGUGAGUGAUUCAUAGUUUGUGUCAAGAAGGGGGCAUAGCGUCUCAUCUAUUUAACAAAUUGGUGGAUGUUUUGUAACGAGAGUGGAUUCCUUUUGGGGGUUCUUUGUCAUUCUGCUAACCUGAAAGAAGGAAUGAAAGAGCAGCUCCUGUGGUAAACAAAAGGUGGAAUUAUCCGGACUGUACGGACUAUCAUCCGAUGAGGCAAAAGGAGGAUAGAAAGUAGAUGAUAAAGGUCAGCGACAGUGGACGUUACUCUAGCGGAAUUUCAGUCUAUUCACAAUGAGAUAAUAAUUAUGAAUGUGAAGUGUGUUCGAGCACAAGGUGCUUCAAAGCGAAAAAGAGUCCUCUACUUUGACUUUGAAAGCUCACUAUUGUAUCACUGUCCGCUCGGGUUCUUCUCCGAUCCGGUCUUUUUUUCAAAGGGAGGGAAUCAAAGUAAAGCUAGGCUGGAAAGAUGUCUUUCCCAGUCUCCCAAUCGCCCCACCCAGCCGGAGUUUCUCUAGAGUGCAGCCAAAGGCGAAGAGAUUCUUCCAUAACCAAUCCAAGGUAUGGAGGAAGCUUGUUACUAAGAUCCCUUGUUUGGUAAUUAAUAUCCCAGGAUACAGGGUUUCACUUCUUUGUCACGGUUUGUGAGUCAACUGAUUCUGUAUUGAGCCGGCUUUUACAAACAAGCCCUAGUUAUUUUUGUAACCUCCAAGAAAGCAAGCCAAAAGUCCUAGAACUAGAAAAGCGAUAUUUCCUAGGUAACAUCCAAGGGAUGAAAAACGGACCCUACUUCCUGUGUACUCCACUUCUUAACUACUAUUUCUUAUUGUUGCCCCUCAAAGCGGUAACCGGUGCACUAAUAAUACCCUUCCUCUCGGCUAUCUCUCUUUCAAUUAACGCUAAAGGCAUGUUCUUUAUUGUAGAUAAUAUAAUCAAGGUAAUUCGAGUCAGAGAGAUAGAUGAUUCCAUUUCGUUCUUUACUUCAAGUCAUUCUCAGAGGCAAAAACUGGCUUAGAUGAGCUUCCUCUGCUAAUGGAUAGAAAUCAUGGCAAUCGUUGGUGCAGAGUUCCAUGCAGUUAGAAGAAGGCUUUUCACUAGCCUUGAUGAAAGCGACGAAGAGCGAGUCAAGAAUUCGAUUACCACGACAGAGGGCCUCGUGUGUUUGUGAGAGAUAGCUCCUAGUUCUGAAUGAACUGCUUCGAGCGAGCUGCCCUUAUUAUAUGACACAGGAUGUUCAACCCCAAUUAUGGAACUAGAAGCACAAGGCUCGAUAGACCUUAACUAUACUCCUCUGGAAUGAAGUGAGUCUAUAUACAACUGGAAUGAAGUGAGUCUAUAUACCAUACAAUAAAAGAGAAAAGCGGAUCUUGAUAGAUUGCCCUAGCCCUGCCAUCAAUCACUGAAGAAGGAUAGACCUUUUGAUACUUCGCCUUUUCUUUCAUAUGGAAAUGUCGCCAAAUGCUUGCUCUCCCGAAGCUAUGAAUUCCCUCUUUCUCGGGGGCUAGCGCAGCUCUCUCUUGUAUUAGCUAUAGGGUCAAUCCGACUAGAUCUAGGGUCAAUCAAAUCAGACUGGUAAAGAGGCAGGAAUUAUCCAAAAUAGGAAUGGUAGGCUCAUAGGCUGUAAAGCAAGACUAAAGAAAAGGAAGGGCUGCCUAACAUAGGGGUGUAGUAAGUCAGGGUUUGUUCCCUAGGAGUGAAGGCUAGUUUUUUGGAGUCUCGUAUUGCUAGCACCAGUAAAAGUCUGAGUUAUUAUAUUAAUGCUUCUUAGUAUGUGCGCGGAUGUCGUACCUGUCUUCUGAUUUCCCAGUUCCACUCUUAUUAGUGAUAGAUGCAUUCUUUCCAGUAAGUAGUGCAAUUCCAGUCCUGUUUUCUUCUUUGAGUUGGAAUAGGAAUAUCCAUCAGUUGGGGAAUAAAUAAGUAUACAGCAUGGGAGUAUACAGCAUGGUCGGGUAAUAUAGAAUAAAUAAGGGGUUUCCGAGUCAAUAGUCAUGGGAGUUUGAAGAGUCAAAUAGCUUGAGUUUGAUAGCACAGAUCCGGUUCAGGAGUCUUCGAGUUCAAAGCACUAGUGGAUUUCCUGUCAGCACUAGUAGGAUCCCUAGUUUCUUGUUUUGUUUCAAUUGCCAGAUGCGCACUAGAUCGUACUUCUCUAAUAAUACUAAGUUGAACUCAUGUUUACUCCUAUUAUUCUUAUGUCCCUUUGUUCAAUUCCGAUUAUCGUUAGUUAAUUCCCUGUUCCGAGCUAGGGUCCUAUACUUAUAAAUAGUGGUUUCAGUCUCUCUUUUAUUAGUUUCGCUCUAAUAGCAGUUAGGAUCUCUGCCCGAAGGAUGUAAUAAGCAAGUCCAGAAUUCUAGCCGGUAGAGCAAGCCCGAGAUGAAGUCAAGUAAGCCUCUAAUCCAAUAAAAGGAAAGUCAAGCCCAGAAGCCAGAAAAGCAGCAAUCUUUCCGUUUUCUAGGAGUCAAAGAGACCGACUUGGCAAAUAUUAAUUGCGCUAUCGCUCUGACUCUCCUGUCUCUCUGCCUUACUUCCUGUUUACCUUAUCUUUAUCCCCUGGCUUUGAUUCCUCUACUAAUAAGAGAACAACUGGUGCCUCUCAUAACCAACCUUGAAAAGGGGGAAUUCAAUCCAAAGUAAGAGAAUCAAACGAGUAAGGCAAGGGCUGAAAUCACCGACAACAGACAAGUAACCACCAAUUAGUGAUUAAGAAGUUAUUACUGCAGUUGUAUUCGCAGAACUCGAUCCAAUAGUCAAAAAGCCUUAUCUUGAUAUCGAUGCCAAGCCUCCAUUACUAAGUAGUAAAUCUGACACUUGUUUGGGUAUUCAAUGGAUUAAGUCAUAAGCGAACUGCUAACUAUGAGAUUGAAAACUUGUCAUAAGGAAACCAACCACUGCUUAGCGGGCUAACCAACCACUGCUUAUCGGGCUAUAGUUACUGAGCCAGAUCCCUACUUCUCUUCUCGGCUUGACUCUUAUACUGGGUUUGUUGAUUCCUGUGCUCUUGUUUCUGUAAACUAACCACUCCACUACUACUUUAAGGAUCCUAUCCCCGGUUUGAUUCUUUGUUUACUACUUUGUAUGGUAGUUGAGUUCUUACUUCUUUGUUUCAUUAAUACUUUCCUACUUGAGAGAAGAGUUACCUUACUUAUAGCUUAUUGCCUAAUUGCAGAAUAUUGGUCAUAGGGUAAAGAGAAAGGGUUGAUGCAAUCGGUAACUAUUUAUUUGAUACCUGAAUUCGGAUCUCUGUAACGAGCAACUCUGACGCUGGAGCGGAAUUCUUUCUUAUUAGUAAGGAAUGCUAGGUAAGUGGGAGUGCUAGGAAGGCGCAAGACUCUCGCAAAUAACUAUACAUAAUGUAUUAAUUAGUUGCUGUUAUAAACAAGUGCUUUUUUUAGUGCUUUGUUCACCGGUGUCAUUAACAAGUCCUAAUUUUCAUAUGUCUUUCUUUGUUGUCGUAGAUAUUAGGACUACCGCUACACUUACGUAGUUACUUGGUAGGUGCGAGAAAGCCUUUACUUUACCUCGCCUCGCCUCAAAGCCAGUAGCUGAAGAUUCUUAUAGCAUUGGUUACCGGGUGGGUUUCUUUGAGUCCAACCCCAAGCAUGAAAGGCAGGUCUUCAAGGAUAGGUCAUGAGCUGGAGCUAGGUAAGUCCGGAUAGGUAGGCGGGCAGGUCUAUCUUGCUUUAUACCCGGGUAGAGAAUAGAGUUGACUUCAAACUUGUAGAGAAAUCUCGCUACGAAAAAGUCAACUAUCCGCUUGUGUCUCUGUUACUAGUUUAGUGCGGUUAAGAGCUUACUGACGCCGAUGUACUUGUUUCAGAAUUCCACUCCUCCUCGUAGAAGAAGAGAAGAGAUGAGCCAGAGUAUGAUGAGACUGCCCUUCUUUACUAUGAAUUUGAAUGUAUCCAAGAGAAAUCAGUUAGUAUAAGAGAAGGUCAAAAGAAAGAGUUUCUUAUUAGUGGGAAGGCGCAGUGAUUGAAUAGUCACCCUACCAGAAUCUCCAUGGAAUGACUCGAUCCAUGAAGCCUUUCUUACCCACAUAUCGGGAUCUUUCUAUCUAGGUAAGGUUAGCCACAUUGAAGUUAGUGCUCCACCCCUUGGUAUGGUACCGGAAGCACUUUGUAUUGGUACUAAAUGUGUUUCCCUGCCUUGAUAGGAGUCAAGGGUAUCAGAGUUUAGAGUUGUAAGUAAGGAUUCUCCUAUAGAUACAAUUCCAGUCUGUCUUCAUUCAAUUGAUCAGUCUUCCAUUCCACUAUUCAAAAGUGAGAGUUGAGAGUGUAGGGAAGUCUCCUAUAGGGCUAGUACAUGUGUGACUUCCAUGCUUUGUAGGGCACAACAAGAAGGAGCGAAGCUGCGAGAACGAAUGGGAGACGGUCCAUGUUAAUAGAGCUCGCAUAUGUCGAAGAAAGAGGGGGGUAGAAAGAAGAGAGUGGUUCUAGAGUUGCUCACCUUGCAGGGACGGACGGAUUAAGCAGAAGCUGAAGGGCGUCAGGCAGAGGGUCUCGAAGUGAAGUAUCUUCGGCUUACCUUUUUGCUUGUUCCGUGUUAUAGCAAAUAGUAGAGCCAAGGUGAAGCUCCUGGAUCCGUAGCUCGGUAAAGGAAUGACAGAAAUAACUUAGCCUUGGUAGAUCAACUCAAGGUACUGACAAAGCUCGUAAGAACGCGGAUUCCAAUGAACAAGAAUAACGACUACUAGGAAUAGCAGGGCUAGUCAACAAUGGUUAAGUUGGAACACUCGCUUCUCGCUUCGAAAGUGGAGUAGUAACCAUUUUCGUAAUUGCCAUCCUAUAGGAGAGGAGAAACUCUUUAUUUCUAGUUCGUAGAGAUCCGAUUGAGAAGUUAUUGAUCUGGACAAUCCCAGGUUCGUAGAGAUCCCCGAUUGAGAAGUUAUUGAUCUGGACAAUCCCAGGUUGUUUGUUACGAAGGUUGCCUGGUCUGACUCAGCACAUAAUGAAAGGGCUUUCCUCCUACUAGAAGAAAAGGGGUCAAGUUCAUAUUCAAAGAAGGGAAUCUUGUCGGGAGCCCCUGAUUAGCGGUUGGAAGCACGACGGAAUCUAAAUAGACCAACGCGUGCUCCACCUAUAAAAGAUGGAAGAGUACGCUCGAUAUAUCACAGAGGAGGUAAUGGGGAUCAAUAGAUCUAGUAGCUCGUCCUAGGAUGGUACAAGCCCCAUAAAAUAGCAUACUUCGGGCCUUAUAAUCAGACUGCAAAUUCAAUGGAUGCAUACUUCGGGCCUUAUAAUCAGACUGCAAAUUCCAUUAGUUCGUAGUGAUCUAAUGAAAUGAAAUGGAUUGAGUUCUACAUGAUCUAAUGAAAUGAAAUGGAUUGAGUUCUACAUGAUCUAAUGCUGGGGUUAGGGAGGAGAGUGUGCGACCGCGAAGUGAUAGGUUGCUUCUGAUUUUGGAUCGGUAAUUCUAGAGUAGUCCCUUUCUUUUUUAGUGUAGAGGAUUAUUGCCCGAGCUGGCUGGAGCUUUUAGUAGUAUGUGGGAGCGCCCUUUCUUCCUUUCCAUAAAUUCCCACUAAAGAUGUUGGAGUGCUACAUCGUCGAGAUUACUUCGCUUGCCUGUUGACGGUUCCCUUUAUGUCAGGAUGAAAGACAAAUGAAUACAAUGUCAGAAAUGACCAGGAUGAAAGACAAAUGAAUACAAUGUAAGAAAUGACGCGAGAAGGGAAGUUUCAAGUUCAAAUACUGGUGUUGGCGAUGAUAGAGGCGAGGCAAUUCCCCGUUUCGGGUUUCAUUCUGUUACUACUAGACAAGUCAGUAAGAAUUCCGUGAUAGGAGCAAUAGGUAUAGGAGCCGAAUUAAGCAAGGCAAGUAAGAAGGAAGGGAGUUCAUUCCGCAAGUAAGAAGGAAGGGAGUUCAUUCCGCAAGUAAUAAUUCAGGGAGUGUAAUUCCGCAAGUCAUAAUUCAGUCAGGGUAUAAGAUAAGCGGGUACGAUCUAGCUCUGUACUAAUACAUGUCAGAAUAAAACAUAUAGGCUUUUCACGCAAUUGAUUCAAAGGUUCAGUUAAGUAGAAAGUGUCAUCGUACUAAGAAUCAUAGGCUCAAGCAGAAGCAAGAUAUGGAGUAGGAAUAAGAUCUGAAGCCGGGUGCUCAAUAGUGAGAAUUCCACUCCUACACAGUAGGGAAAGUGAGAAUGGAAUGGCAACGAGGGAAGUUGACUUCACAACCGCACCAGAGCUAUCAAGGAAAAUAUCCAAACUGGAGCUGUUGUUUGGACUGUUGUUUGCUUCUAAUUAAUAUCAACUAACUAAUAGAAUGACUCUAAGUAUUUUGACUCUAAUAAAACCACUAGUGGAAUUACGAUAAUCAACCUACUAUUAUGAAAUACAAAUAAGCAUAUGAUAAAUAUAAGUCAAUAAUAAACUAAGUAAAGUCAAAGAAGCAGAGACAGGGUAGACUAAGUAAAAGAAUAAUAGACAGGUUAGUCAGAUGAAAAGGAAGUAGAGGCGGGCUGCCAAUAGGGGGGAACUCACAAGGCAUUGAGGGUCGGUAGUGCAAGUCUUAUUCCCGAGUGAGAUUCAGCAUAUUCCCUGGUUCUCGGUGUUCUCAUUCUCAUCAGUAUCAGUGUGCGAUUCUUUCAGUUGGUCUUAUCAGCCUUGUAGUAUCUCGAAAAAAGUAUCUGACUUGAGACCAGUAUACUCUAUUUCAGGCUUGCGGUGAACUAUUGCAUUCUCAUCGGUAGUGUUUUCAGUCUAAUAGCUUUUAGAGGUUUCCAGUUUCUAAGUUCAAAAGCACUAGUGGAGUUCCUUAUUCAAAGUAUGAGUUCCGAGCAAAGGUAUUAAAGGCAGUAGAGCAGGAUCCGAAUCAGUAGUAAAAGAACGAAACUAUAAAUAAAGAGUUGAAACCAAGGAGAGGUAGAUUGAAAGGAGAGAUAUAGAAUGCAAAUCCGGAUAGUAAGCCAGUUUGCUAGCAGCUCCAAACUCUUAUUAACAGUAGUCCGAGUCUAAUAGGCAAUGAAAGCCCUGUUUCGAGUUAAAGUAUGAUUAGGCGCAAGUUCCAUUCUUUUACCACUUAGUAGAUUAUGAUAAUUUCCAUAGGCCUAUGCCUUUUAUUACACCUAUACAGGUAACAUCGUACCCAUUUAUAUGACUUAUCGGUUGGAUUCCGAGAAGCCAACAGGAGUUUGCUGCUGGUACAGCCUUGUUUGCUGUGUUUGAAGUCUCGGUAGCACUAGUUGUAGGUUGCAAGCUAAGAUAGGUAUACUCAAGCUGAGGAAAGGUAGGCUUGGAAGUAAGUGUUAAAGAAUAGCGGUUUGGGUAGCAAGGCUGUUAGGUUGUAGUCGAAGAGUGAAGGAGAGCAAUUGCAGGUUGAAAGCAAGGAUAGCUAGAGUAAACCCAAAGAAGGACAGGCUCAUAGGGCAGUAAAGAGACUAUUAUUGGUAGUAGUAGGGUGAUUCUAGUAGUGAGUUGGAAUGAGAGGGACUAAAUACAGAUGUAGAUUCAAGAGAUCCAGAGUGAAACUAGUACAAAUAGGAGUGUGUGAGCUGCAGCAUUGCUAGUUCCGAGUUCCAUUCCCCUUUCUCAAGUGAAAGCCCUAGUUCCGAGUUCAAGUCUCAGAGUACCCAAUUAUGGAUUCUUUAUUCUUUUAUUUAGUCUACUAGUUAUUAGCAUAAGAGUUAGCCCGGGGCAAGUUAGAUUUUCUAUCAGAGUCUCAGAGUGAAAUACAUGUUUGGAAGCUAUGAAGUAAGGCUUGGCAUGAACACCAACAAUAUACCGUAUUUGAAAGUCUGGAUCCUAAUCAGUAGCUCUAUAGUCUUCAAAGAAGUUUUUGGAUUCCUUGUUCCUAGUUGAGUUCACUGAGUUUACUUCCCUGUUCCGAGUUUAGUCUAUCAGAGGGGGGGUAUUGUCCAAUUCCUUAUUAAUAAUCAAAAGGAUCCGUAUUCUGUGGCGAAAGAGUCAAGGUAAGGGUAGCGAGCCUGUUUGCUAGUAGCCUGAUUAUUAUUGAGAAGAUUGAUUUCCUUAGUGUUGUUUUAUCUUACAACUACUAAAACUAGUAGCCUUAGAGCUAGUUCAUCUAAGAAUGGAAGAAGUAAGUACCAUACCCUUCCGUCGUGAGAGGGCAGGAAAUUAGACAGAAACCAAGUAUAGAAAGAACGUAAGACAGGAGUUUAGGAACGAGAAGCAAGAGAAUAAGGGCUGAGACUGUGGAUUGGCUGUUUGAUAAAGCUAACAAUCAAGGCUUGGCUACUCCGGGGCAUGUUGGUUAUGAUACCGAUUAUUUGCAUUCUUUCUUUGAGUUAGAAACAAGUCCUGUGUUCUGGAGCUACUGCCAAUAAGGUGGAAACAAGAGACCGGGAAUAACACACUCGAUAUAAAGAAUUGAGCCCUGCUGGCAAAGAAUCCAAAAAGUCAAAUAAAGAAAAGGAUGCCUUGGGAAUCUAGAGCGGAGCGGGUGAGUCAAAUACUUGAACUUAUGAGCCUAGGAAUGACAACACCCCAUAUAGACUUCAAAUAGUCCAAAUAUGAUUUGAAACACUAAUACGGCUACUCGAACAGCAGCUAACAAGACUCGCUUUCUUUAAGGACCAUGAGCCUGACCCCUAAUCCGACUAUCCUUUUUCUUAGCCUACUGCUACUUGCUUAAAAACUGUAUCUAGUGCUUAUAAGACCACCACUACCUAUACCAUAUAUAUAUAUAUGUAAGCAUGAACUACAGGAGCAAUAAGAAUUGACUUAAUGCCUAAUCGACUUGGACUUAUCAGUAGCUCCGUUCCUAUUAGCGGAGGAAUCAGACUUAUAAGAAGGAGUUGUAUAACUAGAGGCAGUAGCGAGAGUUUCAACCAAUAGAUAGGGAAUUUCUAUCAGUAGGAGCAGACCAAUCGACGGGGUUUAGUUCUUAUAUGACAAUUCAUUCUUCUAUUAUAUAUUACUCAUUAUUGAACGGUAUCGGAUCAAGUCUUGUUGAUCCUAGGUUGAUUCUUUCUAUUGAUCUUACUGGUCUUGUAGCGUAGGAACGUAUCCAUUGAUCUUAUUUGUCUUGUAGCGUAGGGCGAACGGUCUAGUCGAAACUUAGGGAGGACAUCCAUCUAAUGGUAGAAAGAAAGUCCGGACAUCCAUCUAAUGGUAGAAAGAAAGGGAGGACAUCCAAUCUAAUGGUAGAAAGAAAGUCCGGACAUCCAAUGGUAGAAACAACGAACAACGAGGUGGUCCAUCGCAUAUGCUAUGAAGGUACUGCGCCCCUGUAAUGAUUGAUUUUAGCUACUCCGUGGUGGGACCAAUCAUUCUGUGAGCAGCUAUGUGUGCUCUGGCCCAGCAACUACGUCUUCGGUCGUUGACUGAGAACCUACCGUGCUUUAUUGCAGACACCACUCAGAGAUAGAUAGGUCGGGCAAGCUCACAUUAUAUAUGAGGUCGGGCAAGCUUUUCGCUCGAUGUUGAUGAAAAAAAGUAAGGAUGAUAGUGGUCAAUACGGAAUGAAAAGAAACCACGAUACAGAGAAUGACUUCGGGAGGCGGUGGGGUGGACAACCUAAGAACGAGAUAGGGGAGCGAAAGAGCUAAAGAAAGGAUCGGUAUGGCACUAUGAUAUGGUAUGAUAUAAUAUGGUAUGAUAUAAUAUGGUAUGAUAUAGUAUGGUCUGAUAUAAUAUAUGGUAUGAUAUAAUAUGGAUGGUAGACGUACCCACCACAUAUCCAAGGGAGGAACAAACAAACCCAUAUUGAACUAAGUAGUCAAAGGAUGGAGCUAGGGACGGGAGCAGAUGUAGCUAGGUAAGUGAGGAGCGUGGAUCGAAAGAAGACAAGAUAGAGUUAAUCCUAUUGGGCCUAGAAUCCAUAGCGAACUAAAGGAUUAAAGGUAGGUAGGUAGGGCAGGUUAAGAGACAAUAGGUUGGUGCUUGACUUUAAGUAAAGAAGCGCUUGACUGAUACUUAUAUACUGGUGCAUUUUCUCCAUUAAUAUAGACUUGGUUAUCAACUUCCUAACGCUUCAGACUGGAACAAAACUACAGCCCGAUGACAAAAAGAAAAAGACAAAAACCGUUCUUUUACUACUUGCUUUCAUCCUUAUUGCUGUGGUUUGGUCUCAUAGUUAUGAUUUAGAAAAGCUUACAAAUUUACCCAAUGUAGGAUUACUAGUACAUUCCAUUCCCUGUAGGAUAACUAGUCAAUUUCGUGUAUCUAGUACAUUCUAGUUUGUUAAUAAGUACACUACCAAGCUGACCCUACCUCUCUUUCCAUUGGCACAACUAAUGCUAUCAAAAAACACUCAGCCAAGUAACGACUACAAACACUAAGAAUUGCAGAAUUCGGAUUAUGUCCACCAAGACUUCAAGCUUAUAAACUCCAUUCUGAAAGUAAAGAGCACAUUGGUUCGUUAGUGACCUUGUUCCAUCCUACCUGGCACUGGCAAAUGAUUAUGUUUCUGACCUUUAGUUCAAUGAUGACUUUUGGAUACAGAGCACUAGGCACGGCGUUACCGGCUUCUAUUAUACCUACCUCGCUCAAUCCUCUUAUUAGGUUAACGGUAUACCUCGCUCAAUCCUCUUAUUAGGUUUCUUUACUUGUAGUGAUACUCUUACGAGCUACUCAAUUCUUAAAGGAGCACAUGGUAGGCUCACAAUUCCAACUUUUCAAUUCCAUUCUUAAAUGACUACUUGAGAGAAAGAGAACAGUUAGUAACCCUAAUAUAUCAUGCCUAGUGGGUAACAAUAAUUCCUCUGUAGCUUGUCGAGUUCCACUUAUUGCGCAAAAUGGCAUCUUCUCUCGUAGACAGUAAAGCAAGCAAGCGCCAAUAACCUCUGCGCCAAUAACUCUCCCUUAUAUUAGCGCCAACCCAGAGAAAACUCAUUCAUGUGUCUCAAUUGUGAAUUCCGUAACCGUAAGCUGAAGUCCACGAAGAAACUUUAGCUGGCACACUUAGUAUCGUUUGGCCAGUUGAGUCUUAAGUUCAUUAUGAGUCUGGUUCUCUUCUGUCAACAACUCAUUAAUUUGCAUUUGACACUCCUUACGCGCAUAAAUAAAUAAUCUCAUUGUAAACAACUUUCCCUGACCCAGGAGAGGAUUGAGCGGUCAAGUCUAAAGUAUAGUUUGACUUUUCUCCUAUCUAUUAAGUCAGAAGCCGCAGUCGAGGAUCAUGCCCAAGAAUAGGUUACAUCGAUAAGUACUGAAUGGUCCGAGUGGAAUUAUUGUGGAAAUAGAAUCUGCCAGUUGUGUGCCCUUCUCGCGUAUGGCCCCAGUCCCACUUAAAGGGAAUAAACCUUCUUUGAUUUUCGUGGUAAAGCUCGGUUUGGUUUUCACUCCUUUUUCUUGGUUAGCCUACUCAGUAAUUCCGAACAACAGAACAAGCAAACUCUGAAAUAAGACCCUAGUUGAAAGAACAGGAAAAGGAGACAGACAUUUGGAUCAAACUCAUACUGGAAAGACUUCUUUACCACGUAACACGAUAGUAGUAGCAUUAUGAUCAAGCCCGGGAUCCUCUUCAAAGUAGGAAAGUUUCAUAUCGGCCAAGAAGAGAAGGAGACCCCAGAAAUCUAUUUCUUGUAAGUCGAGUUACUCCGUACCUUUCGUAUCUUUCAUCUGAGAACGACAGCAGGAAAGAAGCACUAAACAAACCAAAAUCUAGAUAGGGCUUCCAUAACUAAAGCAGAAGCGAAGCCCGCCGGAGCAUAGAAGGACUUAAAAGAACAGACCCUACACUACCACUAAAAAAGAGGUGACCGGCUACUAAAUACCAGUUCGUAACCCUUAGGGUGUAGCUUUCGAACAAUUGGCUUCUUUUAAAAGGUAGUUAAACGGGAUUCUAAUGAGAUUCUCAUUUCUUCUAUGAAUUCGAAUGAGAUUCUAUAUUCUAAUGAGAUUCUAUUUAUAUUAAUCCAAAAUACAUCCCUUGGCUUACAUUAAAUAGGGAAUUACUGGAAUAGGACGGACCGAGAGCUUCUCUUGCUCCAAGAUACCCUAUAUGAAAUGGAAUGUUAUGAUAUUUGCACCUAUAUGCACGUACUAUUUGGAAACUCAGCUCACCCACGGAUCUGGAAUCGCCCGAAUAGGGGUAUAAAGGUGAAAAGAGUCGACGGACGUGGCCAAGGGUCUUUGCUUUCGAGAGGAACGACCCCUCUCUUGGAUUUGGAGAGGUGGGUUUGCCGUUGCCUGCAGCUAAGUUACCAAGUGAGCGAAACCACCCGUAUUCUAAUCCGUCCAUAGGAGUUAUGCCAGCAAAGUCAACCAGGGUGUACCAACACAAAAUUAUGUAACGCCCGAAAGGGGGCUAGGCUCUUCUUCUGUAUGAGCAUCGAGCAUAAGACCUUUCACAAUAGGCCUAAGAAGGAAGUUCGCUCUUGACUAUGUUAUUGAUCUUGCUAACUCGUGAACUAACUAAAUCCAGUGGUUCUUUCCCGGCCCUGAGCUCCCUUCUAUUAGGCAUUUGAGCUAUAUGCUAUUAUUCCUCUUAUAGUAGCUAGAGAUCGAGUAUCAUACAAUUGAUCCGCUAAUAUGGUAUGCUCUUUCUAGGGAUAUAGCACUCUGAAAUAAGGUAGUAUUCCCUCUAUACUAAGCGACGGUCUGGUCCGCCUGUAGUUUAGAGCUUGCACGUAAGCAGUCAGCAGCAAUAACCGUAUAAUAACUCGGUAUUGGCAUGAACACAGGAAGAGUCAAAAGAUGCAUCACGGAAAACACCUAUUCUUCUGAAAAAACAAUGAAAGGUAGCACCUUAACCUCUCUCCAUGACCGACGUCAACUACAGAAGAUACUCGACUUGGACCACUACUAAAAGGGGCCUUUAACCCAUAAGGGGCGGAUUUGUAUGCUGAGUAGCAGUAAGUACUUGUUGAGUGAGUUGGGGCAAAAGGGAAGCUAUGUGUUUACUUGUGUUGGUUAACCUUCUUCUACUUCUAUCCAUACGCGCCUACCCGAGUAACAGGCAAUUAUCUUUGAACUCACAACUAAAUAAGGAAUUUCAGAAUGCAACUGGGGAUUCCACUAGCCGGAGCUCCUGCCGCCAUGAAUACAAGACUCGGGAACAACUCAUUAAGACAUGUUAUAUGAGUUCUUUACUUGAGCACUGAGUUCUGACUUAUGUCUUGAAUUCAUCCAUUACUGACUUGAGAGUUGAUCGGAGCCUACCCUCUUAUACCACUUAAGUGAAUUCUAGGUUUAUGGUUUUGUCUUCCAUUAAGGCCCUCCAUUACGAGUUUAGAGCUCAAUUCAAACUGUUGAGGUGGAUUCCCUUAUGUACCAACUCAUUCGGCUAAAGAACUUCACUUUUUGAUACAAUACUAAAAGAAAAGAGCAAGUAAGCAAGCUCCGGAACUAAGAGUGGUCGUGAUGUCCAGAGGAACUAAACUAACAAGUAGGAAAUGCGGAAUGAAAAUAGUACUAACAAGAACCAACCUCAUAACUAGGGCAGCGAACGAUGGCUACGGAUAACGAGAAUGCAACUUUGAACUAAGGGACUUGAACUCAAAACAAAGACUAACCCCGGGUGCUCAUAUUACUAAGGCGUUAACAGCAGACUAAAAGCUUGAACUAACAACUCCGAAUUGAACACUGCUUUUGAAGCCUGCCUUGCCUACACUCCUAUUCUAUAAUUCCUAUUCUAAUUAUCCUGACUUUGAUUGCCGCUCUCCCAUUUAAGUAUUCGACUACUUGCUUAAAGCCUGUGACUGCUAGCUCUGGGCUUGGCACUCCCCAUUCCCAUUCUUCAACAAAUGCCUAUGCAUCUUGCUUUACAGCUUCUCGGCCUGAAACUACCUACUCGUUCAAUUGUGAGUAUGCCUUUCCUGCCUUACAGUACGUAGUGCACCUCUUGACCUGCCCCUACAGCCUAUGAGUUUUGCUUUACUUGCUUUUGACUCUUGCCCCGUUCCCCAGUCAUAGUUAGGAGAUCGAUAUGAACAUCAUGAACUGUUUUUGUUGGUCGAAAGGUUUACACUAUACAAUGCUUCUUUUCGAAAUGAGUAAGGGCGACAUACGAAAAGGUGCACGUGCAGAGGUCUGUCUCUAAAAGUAUCUAAAAGAGAGAAAGGAAAAAUAGCUGCUUGCUUUUAAGGGGAAGUCCAGAGCGGCAAGGGAGAGAUUGAUUGAUUCUAAGGAAAGAUAGGCGUUCGGCUAACUCGCUUUACCCUUAUUCCAAAAUAGACGAUGCCACCGAUAGAAACGGCUCUGUGGGCUCUAAGGAAUGAGCCAGCUGACGCUGCCCUUGUGCUUGCUUGCUCUUACACUAUUGUUUCCUUCUUGUUUCCUUAAAGAACUCUUAUUUCGGCAUAACUGCAUUGCUUGCUUAAGAACGGUGCGCACACAGAUGAUAUGAUAGAUAGAGUAGUAGUAGUAGUAACCUAAUUCUGAAACUCUAAGAAGCUAACCGAUACGAUGAUGAAAGAAGCUAACCGAUACGAUGAUGAAGAUAGGGUUAUUUGAGCCUGAAGACAAGAAUUCACCGGGUGCAACUCAUUCACGACGCGCUGGAACUGAAUAAGGGUAUUAUGUGACUUAUUUCUAUAUGUAUGUGGGUAGCUCUCUUCUGAUUCUAACAACAAGGAAGCGGUGUUUUCCAUAUUAGAGUAACGCUCUCUUCUCUAAACUCACGUAAGCAAAAAUGGGUUAAGGUCUCUGUUUCUGUUAAGAGAGUUCGGGGAACAAGCAAACAAGCUGUUUUCUUACCUGUCAGCAGUGUUUUGUUAACCCAUUACAUAAUAGGUAUACUCACAUUCCACCAGUGUUUUGUUACCCCAUUACAUAAUAGGUAUACUCACAUUCAACGCGCAUUAGCUUAUUCGAGUUUCUCGGAGCUUAGAGUGUUUAUUACUGUGUCAUUCUAUACAUGGUGCCUAUGUCUCUGGCCUUAUUGCCUUAUUGUGUAGGAGCCUUAUAAAUCAAGUAUCUUCAGCAAGCAAGGGAACAAGUAGAAACCAUUCGUGCUGUACGCCUCUUUUGCACUAUCCUACACUAAAACGUUAGCGCUCCAUUAGCUUGUUGAGUUCAGACACGCACGUGAGCUUUGUUUUGAAGCAAUGCAUUGAGUUUAUAGAGUGUGUUUACAUUAGUCAGAGUUAAGUAAGCAGGAAGCAGUCAAGAGUAAGGUAAGCUUUGUUGUUCACUAUAUUCCAUACGAUGUGCACCGGAAGAAGAUAAGCAAACAAGUGGUAGAGUUAUGUUACUAGAUUAUAUAAUGGGUGUAAGAGAGAAUCAAUUAAAUGAACUCGCUACAGCGCUUAAAUAUACUAAAGCAUGUUCUAAACUCGCGGAAGCACUUGUCGAACUCCCUCCUUAUGGAAUGGAAUCGUAACCUAACUGAAGACUCCCUUCUCGCUUAACUAUUUAGUAUCCAUCUUUCUCGCUUAACCAUUGAGUAUUGAGUAAAAACACUGCAUUGCUUUCCCUAACCGACUUGAAUAUGCUGAAUGUGCAUACCCUAAUAUAUAAAGAAGGAAGUACAAAAUAUAUAAAGAAGGAAGUCAAAAACACCUAUUACCGCUUGUUCCCAGAGCAGCUAUUCCUUCCUUUAAUAACUAAGGCAGGGCUUGUUCCAGUUAAUAACUAAGGCAGGGCAGGGCUUGUUCCAGUGUGCUUUCCCUUGCUUGUAUCUGAGACGGGGGUGUGCUUGUUUCGGUGUGCCUUCCCUUUGACUGUUGCUGAUGGGGAGAAGACAUAUACGAGGACAGGACUUGGUUAUAACUCUCAAACAGGACAUCUUUUACUGCUUCUUUUGCACUCUCUUCUCUUUAUAAAUAAUAACUGAUUCAACAAUCACAAUAACUCUCUCUUUUCACUCGGGCUUGGCUCCAGUUGACGGGGCUCCUUUAGCCUUUCAAUUAGCACUUGCCCAGAAACUGUUAGAAUGUAUUUCUUACGAGUUAUGCUUUAAAAGUAGUAGCUUGGCCCCUUCUUUCUGUCGACAAUGAUGAAAACCUGCCAGAAAGUCGAGCCUUUCACUUCAUUGUUCAAGCUCUUUCACAUGGGUUGAGUUCAUACAUAUUGAAUGCUUUACUAUUUCAGACAUACUCCAAAUUCCUUCCUUUGAAAGCUACUACAACUACCGAAGCAGGCUUGCAUCUUUUGUGCUUACGGGGGUUUUCCAGAGAAAGAAGAUCCGGUUGGGCUUUCUAGUCUUGCCGUUGCCUUAGUAGGUUGCUGCUGUACUUCACCCAUGUUACUCCAAAUCCUUCUUAUUAGUUGUAUAUAAAUGGAUUCUUAUUAUCUUGCUUGUUUUCUUUCUUGUUUUAUGGUAAUAGAUAGAAAGAGAAAUUGACCAGUGGAAUAUAGGAGAUAAGGCAGUCAGUGGAAUAUAGGAGAUAAGGCUAUGGAAAACCGGAAAUAGAUUCCUAUAGACACUAAAUAUAGACGACCAAUUGAAAGGUAUGUAGCCCAGUCACUUCCCCCUUUUAUGGUACUCAAUCAUAGGGGUUCAAUUCUAUCUUAGGCGAUAUCAGGUUUACCUGCAGGCGAGCAAUAAGUUGUUCUCACGCUUUCUGGCUCAGUCAAGUGAACAAUGGUUGUAUAGGUACUUGGACAGAAGAUUAGGGCUCUGAUAACUUAGCAAAGAUCACACCUCCUAGAAAUGCUAUAACUGAUGUUCAAUUACCGCACCUAAUGAGCUUGAAUGGAAAGACCUUGGGGCAUCGAUGAAAGCAUCGACAUGUGAUCAAAGUACCAAAACAGCGUUGGCAUAGGUAGGACUGGACAAUACCACUUUCAUUUGAAUCGGAGGUUGGGAAUGACUAUUGGAUUCUUACUACGCCCCGGUCUGGAAUCUGUAAAAUAUCAUGGAGGGGGCAAGUGGCUCACCUUUCUCAGGUUAAAGAGAAGAUUCACACAUGCAGCUCGGACAAAGACUCACUUCAAUACCAAAACCCCAUAUGUAUCUAUCCGCAAUCGAAUGAGGCUACGAAAAGUGAAGCGUGAUCUCUCUUAUUUAGAAAUGUAAAACUAGUGAGUCAGGGACUAUGGAAAGGAAAGCCAUAAAAGGGAUAGACGUUAGCCUAGGAGCUGAGCUCGUAGAAAGGGCCUACUCCGAAAGAGAGCUAGAAUCCAUUCGUGCAAGGGUUGUCGAAAGGAAGGUUGUUAGCUAAGGUGACAAUAGAACGAUAACGAUAUAUAGCUGUAAAGAGAGUACUUGAGUAGGAAAAGAGAGUACUUGAGUAGGAACGAUAGAGAGUCAGUCGCUCACCGCUGUCCAAGGCAAUUUCAUAACCAUCGUAUGCCCGCCAAAGAGACACUAAAGAACAGAGAAGAUAUCGAUGACGUGGGCAAAGACAAAGAGGAAGCGAGCUCAGUCGAAGUCAGUUCAGUCGCUUUCGAGCAAGUAGGAAGUGGGGUUCUCAGCCUUAUUCAAAGACAACGAGUUGCUCUGGUUCUCAGCCUUAUUCAAAGACAACGAGUUGCUCUAUAAAGUAAAGAUUCCGUUGGGGGAAGCGAAGCAGAAAUCCUAUAUUCCAUUUCAUCUCAGCGGCCGCACUUCACUUCAUUAGCGGAUCCAUCAACUACUAUGGAUCAAAAGAAUCUGUACAUUGGGGUGUGCUUUGAUAGCCUCUUUUUCAAAUGGUCAGUUUGGUUUGGGACGAGAGGGACUCAAAUAGUAGUCACCAAAAGCCAUUGGACUAUGUUAAAGGCUUUUUUUUGAUAAUCAAAGGUACUUUAUUAGUUUGUAUAAAAGCACAAGGCUCUGCAAGACCUAGUCAAAGUAUCAUAGCUACGUAGGAUGAACUUGGGCUGGGGAGAGUGGAGACCCUUCAAAGCCAGAUCGAAAAAACACUACAAAAAGACAGAAUAGACACAUUAGAGACAAACAAUAUGGAUUUCUAACAAUGUGAAGUUCAAAAGAAUGAAGAGUUUUCCUCACAUCAAGGAAGCGAAGCUUUUCUUUACCGGGUGAAAAAAGGAUAAUAACAAGGUAGGGAAAUGGCCUUGUUGUACUUCCACAAAGCGACACAGCCCUUUCUUAGUGGGAUGCCGCUUUACUUCUCUCGUUCAAGGACAGUCUUAGUUGCACGACGUGCCAGAUCGAAAUCCUAAUCUUUGUAGUAGACAAUUCACUGUUUUCAAAAAACGUACAAGAAGAAAAGAAGAUGGACAGGCCUAGAUCGUUUAUACAGAAAAAAACCCUAUCGAUCCCUUAGAGAUAAGAGAAAAACUCAGAUUAUAUCGUCCUUGGUCAGCUUACCGAAGAAAGGUCGCUUGUUGUUGCUGACUCUACGAUCCAAAUCCAAAACUGGAUUCUUCCUAAAGGUCGUUACCACCAAGUCUCUUACUAACCGCGGUGGUAUUACUAGCGUCUUCAAUCAACUCAUCGCUCAAUUCGAAGAAAUCCGUUUUCCAGAAAGGAAUGAUACGCCCCGUCUUCCCCUAUGGGUCUUGUUUUACCCAGUCUUGCCCUCCGAAAGCAAUAUUCUAAGAUUCGUCCUUAUCGCGCUUUCAUAAGGUUCGGGCUUACCCCACACUCAGAAGAAUAAGGAAGACUCAGAUUGAGAUUCCGAAAAAGGCUCCCACCCUGCUUUUAUCUCUCUUCGGUCUUCGUCGAUCGAGUAGUUCGCCCCGGCAAACUGGGUGACCGGGACUACCAUAGAGUAUCAUGCGGUACUACUCCUCAUUAGAUAUGGUUCUUUCUUCUUUGUCCAAUACACACGGUAGGAUAUGGGGAAUUGUCGAGACUAGGAAGGUUUGGAAAUGAACGAGUAGCUUUAGGUAGCUCCAAGAUCGGAAAGAUAGAGGUAGCUCUAAGAUCGGAAAGAUAGAGUUGUAUGGUAUGAGAAGCUUGAAUUCCUAUUAGAAAGGUCUGGGCUAGGAGUCGAUGGCAUAUCCCCUGGAGGGCAAAGCUACUGGAGAUGGCUCUCGUUUGACACUAAUCCCGAUAUUCCAAAAGAUGCUCGACCAGAAGAAGAUGCCGACACAAGGUUUGUUGUUUAGCCAGUAGCUCGAGUUGCAGCUGACUUUAGGAAGAAAGGCUUGGAUUUCGCACAAAGCAAUCGGUCUAUGAUAGAAGUCCUUAUUUUACGUCAGGCCAAGUGCUCUGUUCUGUUAUCAUGAACUGUAUUUUAUGGGCUGGGUUUAUGGCUUGUGUCAGCAGCAUUUCCGUCUCGCAAGGUGGGGUCAUGUCAGGGCUGGGCUGUCCAGUUGCAUUUUACCCGGUAGCAAGUCGACUUCCUUUCCUAAACUGGCAUCCGACAAGUGAGUGUUUUUCCGGUUUCAAACAGUAAGGGAGGAUGAUUGCAUUGCAGGAAAGAUGGGCGGCAUUCCUAUUUUAUUCCCAAGCAAAAGAAAGAAGAACUCUAACAACUGAUAUAGAGACAAUCGCUAUUAAUUGAACACUUACUAAAUCUCGAUGCACCGCUUAGCAAUUGAAUCACUAAGAGAACACCGCCUACGAUCACUCAUACUCAAAGACGUUUACUGUAAUAGAACUGGCUCCUGAUAUGCCAACACAGGACCAGAAAGACCGGUUAUUUCUCCAACAACUUCUUCUUGGUUAUAUAUGUAACCCCUAUUCUUGAAAACAAGCCAUUCUUGCAGGGACAAGGACCGAUUAUUCCUAAAAAACCGCUCCGCAUCUAAGAUCACGAGAUGGCAUGAGCUUGUUCAGUGCCACAGCUCUAUUCUAUUUUCUUUAAGAAGUUCUUUCAGAGUCAGAGCCUUAUACUUACUUAUAAAAGGGCUUGCUUAUACUCACAAGAAUACACGGAAGAGAUAGACGCCUUCUCCACCCACAAUCACAAUUGGACUCAAAAGAUCUUUUCUCAUAAUAAAGGGAACAGAGGACUUAGGGGCGUGCCAAAUCCCUUCUCCUGUUGAGGUCGGCAAAAGAAGUCGAUUGCAAAGGAGUUAUUGUUUCCUCUGUGACAGCAGCAAGCAACGAAGCGGGAGUUAUUGACAGUUUGAAAAUGCCCUAUACAUGAAGCGCCGGAUCUCCUUUCUUCACAGGUCUUUCCAAGAGUCGAAGAUGGAUUCCAUUCUUUGUGGAAUGAGUGUAAUUGGAGAAGGCUUCUGAGCUGGAGGUCCUAAUUGACCGUCUAACCUUCCAUUCCAGUUGUCCCAGCCACGGAGUCGGAAUCACAUUACAUUAUGAGCUGGAUCCCAAAGGUGGUUUCUGAGAUAAUGCUAACCGAGGCUAUUGAGGCACGAUAUGAGGCACGAUAACAAACUGCCCGAGGCUAUUGAGGCACGAUCGAUAUGAGGCACGACAAUAAACUGCCCAUAUUACAUCGAAGCCAAAGGAUAAUGUUUCCUGAUGUGGUGGAAGAACACGUUAGUGAAUCGAUAGGGCGAGAUACGACAGGGCGCAGAGGCAAAAACGCCUUGGCAGCAGCGGAGAGUUGUAAAGAGGCGAUGGUUAAGAGGGUAGCGGCUGUAGAAGCAUAGGCAACCUAGAAGCAUAAGGUUUUUUUCUUGUGAAGUUAACAGUUCAGUUCAGUUUGUGCAUAUUCCAGAGCCGUUGUUACUCACUUUGCUUUGUUAUUUGUAACAGAGGCUAGAGAAAUAAGUUGUAACUGUCCGGGGCCUGUAUCGUAGCGAGCAGGCUACUUAAUCCGUAUUUGUUUUAGCUGGACAAACAAUGUUGUCUUUAUAUAAUUGUUGUUCUAUAUGUAGGUCCGUAUCAAGACCCGAAGAUUUGAGAAAUGCCUUUGCGGUGAUUAUUUAUCCCAUCCACAAUGGAAUCGGGGCCGACAGAUGCUGCAAGAGAGAUGCACCGCGCUACCCUUUAGCAUUUCCGCCCAUCAAUGGAAUCUGGGAUCGCCAGAAUUCGAGAGCUUAAUUAAGUAAGGAGUAAAGGAGGAAUAAUCCCUAUACUUACUGCAGCCUUAUGUCCUAUUCCCGAAAUUAUGUAUAGCGAGUACUUUGGGGCGAUUGAAUCGUUAUGUCCAAAAUGCUUUUACUAAGCUGAAGUAAAUGUAAUCCUCAUUUCAUACUUUGUGAAAAGAAAGCACAGGCAAAGGCUUGCGCAGGGGGUAUCCGCACUCCCCUGAUCUCUAAAGAUCGAUAGCUCUACUUCUUCUUACCUCCAUUUGAACUUCCUCUUUGAUCCCCAGCUAUGCUAUUCUAUCAUCUUAAGGUAUCGUCGAGUUAAAGUCUUAGAGGUUUAGCUCCCUAGUUAAGUGGUAUGGUUCGAUCUUUAGGGGCGAGAAGCUUCUCACAGAGAUAACUCGCAUAUGAAAGAAAGGAUGCUUCGCUUUUGCCCAUUGGAAGGCAGAAAAAGCAAAUGCAAACGGUACAGGAAAUGGGGCUAUUUUGAUCACUCGCGAGGCAUCUUCCAUUCAUUUCGACCGUCACCUAGACUUGUUGUUGCUCCAUAAUUACCACUAAACUUCUAUGCAUACGGAAGUAUUUAUAAGUUAGGUUUUUACGAUCUCAGGUUGUCCGCUCGACUGCUUUGAAAGAAAGGACAACUGUUGUGAUUCUACGGGUUAGAGCAUUACUAGUUGCUCUUAGUAGAUGGCCGGGCACUUCCAAACUACCUUGAUUGAUUCCUUAAUUAACGGCCUAUUUUUCACAUAACUCAGCCAAGCUAGUAAAUUGCGCCUAUAUAUUAAUCCACUCUGUCUCCUCGAAGCGAGAGUGAAAAAGUACGACUGUCUCUGUAAUCACUAUUAUUAGCACCCAUCUUUAAGCGUGGCCAACCAACCGUCAAGACUAACACAAGGGAAACUAGUAGAUAGACACUCCGAAGGUUCAUGUGAAGAGGUUCGUGGAAGAGAUCAUGGAGAGACCAUACCAUACAUAAGCGAGCUCGUUUUAAGAGCUCUUCUGAAAGUUGCGAGCCAGGGCCCAGCCCAAGACUAAGGGGGUGGGUGUAAGAGAAAGUGUACUUUAAUUGCAAGUUUGAUCAUGAAGAUCAUAUCUUAGCGAAUGCCCAUAUAAGUAUCCAGUAAGGAGAGGAGUAAGGAAGCAAAGCGGUGAGUAAAGGAGUCAGGAAGAUCUGAAUGGGUGCUCUCUGGUUACAAAAUGCUAUAUGAGGAACACACGCUAUCAACAAAGUGAGAAUGGAAAUGAAGUGGAAUCUAGCUUAGCAUUCAUUGGGUAAGUAUAGAACUGCGUAACCAAACACCUUAAGGGUAAGGCGGGAAAGGUGGACUCGGAAAAAGAAAAUCAUUGGCCAUGGUUGAAAGAGCUGAGCUCCCCGUGACGUGUUAGCGAGUUACCUGUAUGGCGUUAGAGAAGAGCUAUAUCCCGCCCUAUGUGUCAGAUUCAAGGAAACCCACCCUUGUAAUGGAUUCUGACCAGAACCCAACAAGUAACUACUAGACAAGCCGGCCAAGGUGUUAGUAGCAGUUGUUACUUAGUCCGACAAACAGACAAGUCACUUUUGAGUAUUUAUAACUACAUCCUGAGUUAAGAGUUUAGGUAUGAAGUCUAUACAUUGCUUGGCGGAGCAAGAGUCUAGUAUCUAAUUAGGUAACAGGAUAGGACCUUCGCUUUCAAGUAAGUAGCCUCGGUCAAGUUUCAAGUAUGUAGCCCUUGUUGUCGACAGCAAGCGGUGAUUCCAAACGGAAAGUCGCUAAGGCAUAGAGAGCAGUUUCUCGGCUUUCCCGAGUGGGUGGAGGUUGGGGAAGAAGAAAGUGUAUAUCCUAUAGAAGCAGGACUAUAAGCAAGAUCCGAAAGAGUUCAUUCCGUUUCUGUCGAGGUCCAGUCUAAAGUUGAGUUCAAGAUUCCAGUCAAGUUCGUUCCGUUGCGAGUGCUGCUUCUUCACUGCAUUGCUGACUUUCUUUAUAGAUUACUUUCUUUCGUAGAGACUUUAGACGACGAUACAUCUCGCGCAACUAAACGUCGUAAGGGGCGAGUUUGAAGUCAAGUUAGUUACUAACGAAAUAAGCUUAUGCCGUUGCUUGGGGGUAAGAAAUGAUGGAUGCUAUAGGAAUACCACUGUAAUAUACAACUAUAGGAAUACUAUUCUACAGGACGAGUCUCUCUUAACUUACCUUUAAUAUACAACUAUAGGAAUACUACAGAUAGUACGAAUCCAUUCUACACUGAUUGGGUACGAAUCAAUUCUAUAUAUGGUUAUGGUCUCUCCCUUAGCACUCGGCACUAGUGUAAUAAAUGUCAAAUCUAGUAUUAGUCUUCAUAUAACUUGCGAAAUUCAAAACCAAUUCAAUAAGGAUCCACACUGACCUGGGGAUUCGAUCUUGCUCCCUAUCACCUUUUUCACGGAAAAUAGAGAAUUCCGGAUCUGAUCCUAAUCCUAGUUCGGGACUGACGGGGCUCGAACCCGCAGCUUCCGCCUUGACAGGGCGGUGCUCUGACCAAUUGAACUACAAUCCCUGCGAGGUCACAACAAAGAUAGAAAUUUGCAAACUUUGGACUAUGUUAUCAGAAAUCGGUUAAAGGGCCCUCAUCACAUGGUUCAAUCUCAUCUAUGUCGAUGUCAGAUUGGUACGUGUAUAAAUGGAAUAUAUCUUGUUAUGGGUUUAGUCAAAGGAUACAAGCGGGGUUGGCACUGCAUUAUCUUUAUCAAAAUGCAAACACGAUAGAAAUUCGCCUUUUGCACUCACUUUUGGGGAGGUAAAUCCAAUUGAUUGCUCCUAAAUAAACCCUACUCAUCAUCCAUAUUCUUAUUCCUAAAGAAAAACCCCGCAUAUAUCUUCUUAUUCCUAAAGAAAAACCCCUACUCAUAUAUAUAUAUUGGAAUAUCAUUAGCAUACUAUGGUAUAUAUCAUGUACAUCUAUUAUGCAGUAGACUCAUUGAGUCGUAAGCAAAGGCAUAUAUGAAUCACAACAGCUGACAGAGACUUUACCUUAGUGGAAGCAGUUCCUUAAUUAUGGACCCGAACCUUUUCUUAUUUAUCUGAACCGCCUAUUCGUGGGACAGCGCUAACUUCCCUGGGAGAUACCAGCCCAACUAAGGAGCCCGCUCUCAAAUAUGAUCCAACUUCUUCCCUGCGAACAGGAAGUACCUUAUCCUUAAGUACCGCCCCGUGGGUCUAUAGUGCCCCAUGACGAAAGAAAAGAUUAUUAAGCGAAUCAGAAGAGAAGAGGAACAAUGAAAUGAUUCAGGGGGAAAGCAAAGUCAAGCACGAAAUUCUCUUAGAGGGGGAAGGCACCUAUGAAAUGCAGGGGGAAAACCAAGUCAAGCAGGAAAUUCUCUUAGUAGCGGAAACCAUCCAUUAUCCUUCGCUUCUUACGAACUUGAAGCAGAAAGAAAGCUCAAUUCACCAUUUUCUCCUUGUUGUUGUGAUGCAAAAAACGGACCCCUUUACUUUCCUCGGGGGCUACGACAAUUCCAUCGUGCUAUGAGCAUUCCGAAGAAGAACAAAUGGUAUGGAUUUGAUUCCACACAUCCUAUAUUUAUUUGAUAUCGGGGUGUGUUAGUGAGUAGCAGAGUGCCUAGCUGAGUUCAACAAGCUAGGUGGGGUUUGGGGCGAGUGAGUUUGCCGGCUUUCACCGACGCUUAUUAUCGUUUUUCAUCUGACUUGAUUAUAGCGUAUGUGCAUUCAUUAUAUUCCAUUCUUUUCCUUCGAUAACAAGUAACGGAAUAAGAUCUUAAGCCGGGUCUGGGUCUGCCAAUUCAGUUAAGGUCGACAAAAGGGAAGCUGGUAAGCUCGGUUAGUAUAUACUCAAUAAUGAAACAUCGGGAUACAAAGCACUCUAAGGACAGAGGCAGUCGAAUGCUUAACUAGACGACAAAGGUAUAGGCAUAGGUUCAACUUAGAGAUCAGAAGCAUCAGGAGUAGGAACUUUAUAAGAUGCCGGGUACAACGCAACAAAGCAAGUAGGGCUGGUCAAUGAUUCAUGGAGAAAGUGGUUGUUCAAUUCUUUGUUGAUCCACCAGUAGAUUAAUAGUCCGGAAAGUAAGCUCGAAAGAUUUCAUUCCACCCUUUUCCUUCUUUCGCUUCUUCACUCCAAAGCUCCGUAUUUGUUUGUUGCUUCAGCGUUAAGUAUUGCCUAUUGAGUUAGAAGAGAUCAAUUCCAUGGGUAAAGUUGAAAACGUAGAAAAGAAAGAAAUAAGUAAAUAAGCUAGUGCAAAGGCAGACAAGCGUAUACUAGGUCGGUGGAGCUCAAAGUAAGCCAGUUCUUGUUUGAGUUUCAUCCCCAGUAGCUGGAUAUCCGGUUGCAGAAUAGCCUGUUCCUGUUUCUGUUUAAGUAGAAGCAAGAGCAGAUGAGGAAACAAUGCAAGCGGUUCAAUUCCAAAUAGAUGCUGUCUCUUUAUUUCGAUACCACAUGUGUUCGAUAGAUUGGAUUCCUCUAUGCUAUGGCGCACUCUAAGGUUGCAAUGUUUGACUGUCCCUACAGCUAGGCUCAUGCUUUAUGGGGCAAGGCAAGAUGGAUUCCUGUUUGACUUUGUCCCAACUUUCUUUACAGCUAGGUUAAUACGAGAUAGAGAGUCAAGAAAUGAUUUUAUGCGCUAACGGUAAGGGACGGGAAGGGAACAAACACUGGGCAGGUAGCCGAACCUGCAAGGGAAAACAAGUAUCUGUCCUGAAGUAUAGUUCCGCGUCCUUUGUUCGACAGUCCAGGCCCAUACAAAGUAGCAUCAGGGAAAGUCGUUGAAGAAGCCUCAUCUCUUUCUUUUGUUUGCACACUCAGCGGUUAAGGCGCUUGUAAGGAAAUAUUCCAAGUAUAAGAGGUAAGCCGCAAGCUACGUAUUCAAGUGGAUAGUCAAGAGUUCGGAAGCUAUGCUGUGCUGUUUACUAUAUUCUCUAUUUUGUUGAUUGCGAUAGAGGUGAUUUGCUUGUUGGGUAUGUUCCUGAAGUGGAGUCUCUUUCUGCUAAAGAGGAUAAGUGUCAAAGUCUCUAUAAGCUUAAUUGCGGGAAGGUAAGUUUCAAGUUCCAUUCCUACAAUACGAUCUUUUAGACUCCAAUCUUUUCUUGUUUGACUUGACUCUGCCCUGCAGCUAGGUUAAUAUGAUGCAAGAGUUCUCAAAGAAAAGUAUAUGCGCUUCUAGCUCUUUUCGAAACUUCGCCCUCAGGAUCAUAAGUGGAAUAAUUCCAGUUCGAGAAGGUGAACUCGAUAUGUCUUUAUUUCAAUCUAUACUAGGUUCCGGUGCUUGCUCUCAAGAUGGAAAGAAAGUAUUAGUUGACUUGUGACUCACCGCUAUGCGAGAAUAAGUAUAGCUUUCUUAAAGCGCCUAGCCUCGCCCAACUUAAGAAACAAACUGGAAUCGAAUAUACCAACAAGUUCCUGCUCUAGGAUCAGACUCAGUACGGGGAAAGUCCACUCUUGAAUAAAAGUCGAAAGCCGAAACAAGAUCAGUAUCAGAGGCAACAGCUAUAUCCGGAGUCGGAACUUGAUCCAAAGUGGUAUCCGGAGUAGGAUCCAUAAGCUAGAUCAGGUAAGAAAGCGGAAGGUACAGUCUCAAGGGGAAAAGGGGUCAAGAUGAUAGGAUAGGCUCCAAAUGCAUUAUAAGGCCUGUUUCUUAGGCUACUGGCUUCAAUUCUUUGUUUCAAGGGGAAUUAUUCUACUUGGUGGAGACUGUGAAGUUACUAUUUAUAUGAAUUGUGAGUUAGAAGCCUUAGCGAGUGGCGCCUAUGAUAUUCGUUCUUAUCUGAAAGUCAGCAGUCAAGGGUUUGUUUGUUUUUACGACAUUCUCUAUUAGGAACGCAUUAUUCUAUACUUUAACAGUAGUGCGCUGGGCAAUAAUGUAGGUUGGUGCGGCGUAGUAAAGGGUAGUGCUUGACUUUCCUGAGUAUACGAGUGGUUUGGGUCGGUUCAGUAAGGAUGCACAGAUGCAAGAAAUAAGUGCUAACAGAGUAAGUAGAGCAGAGCUUCCAUUGGAGAUGCCACUGAUUCACUUACCGCAACACAAGCACCGCCAGCUCACUAGUACCGCCCUAUAAGAUAUUAAAAGGAAGGAAAUAAACUGGAUUGACUUUUCAUGGGGCUAAUCUUCUUUCUUUCUCUUUGUUGGUGUCUGUCCAACUGGUUCUAGAGGCCGAGCGAGGGGUAGGAUCUGAUCCUUAUUUUCGUUAGUAGUGAUGAGACAACCAAAAGCAAAAGAAGAGGUUAGAGACGGCUCAAUUAAGAUAACACAUCUUUGCUCGAACUCAACAUGCCCCGAGAGUGAGUCUUAGCACAAGUCAAGUCAGCGAGUUGUUGUUGCGGAGUGCGCCUAUGAUAUGAGUGACUAGAGCUCGGAAUGAGGUUACUAUUGCAUAAGUAUAUUAAUAUGGCUUACUCCAGAAAUUCGAUUCUUUAUUCAAUCCAUUCUAUUCUUUAGAGUCAGCAGUAAGGAGUGUUGUUGCUGGGCUUCCACAGUAAGAGGAGUGUUGUUGCUGGGCUUAUACAGUCAGGAGUCUUGUUGCUGGGCUUAUCUAUUUGAUUUGUAACGCUCAUUUCUAUUCCUUAGAGUUUUAGGGCAGGGGUAAAGACACUUUAUUAUCUCAGAUGCUUGGUAGAUUCCAUGAGUGGUUGACUUCUCACUGAAAAAGCAACGAACAAGCAACCUAACUGAGUUAGCUCCGUUAGCGCAAACAAGCAACCGUAACCACUACGCCUAUUGCUCAAAGUAUCGUCUAAAGUUGAGUAGCCAGUUGCAAGAGAAGUAAUAAGUCUCGUAGAUAGUCUUGUUUUUGAAACCCGGUAAGGAAGUAAAGUCAGGAAGUCAAAGGGAAAAGAUGCAACUGAAUAAGCCUGAGUUCCUGAAUAAGACUUAGUUACUGAAUAAGACUUAGUUCUACAAGGAAGCAAAGCAGUAACGCUAUCAACAAAACAAAAGGCUUUCAAAGUAAACAGCAAGUCGGAGAGUGAAGUUAUGCCCUUUAUGCAAGAUAGAUGAAAUUCCGGAAAGUAAGGAGAGCAAGUAACGGAACAGCGCAAACAAGUGUACGAUCAAAAACAAGUUAGCUAAGAGGUUGUCCUGUAGAGUAGGUUUGAACAAGAUAUGAAACUAGCUUUAGGCAAGAAGUAGCAGCCGUUGGGCCUUAGCUUCCAGACUAUGAGUUUGGGGGGUGCUAAUGUGAGUUUAAGAGUGAAGUAAGCAGUGAGGAGUGAUAGUACCCUAUACUAUAAUCCAAUAAGGAACAAAGGAAUAAAUAAGGAAUAAAGGAAGAGUGGAUAACAAGCAACGUAUAAACUACUAACCAAGCUACGUUGUAAGGCCAAGUAACGGUUGUUUGAUUUGAAGCUGCUAAUCGUUUGCUAGUUGGGUCAGAAGGACGGACAUAAACUUGGACCACAACGCGCCUCAGAAGGACAGAAAGAAUAGGAACAAUCGAAUAGCACUGCUUCAGAAAGACAGAAAGAAAGAGUACAAUGGCGCUUCAGAAAGCUUAUAUUCUCUUAAAGACGACGCAACAGAACAAGUCGUAAUACGCUUAGAGCUGCAAGUAAGUAAGGAGUAAGCUUUCGUUUUUGACUCAAUUAGAUCAUAUCAUAUGCUACUUAAUAGGAUUCUCAAUUCCAUGUCUUAUACUGCGGAUUCUUUGGCUUAAGCAUUUGAUCCCAAUCUACCUUCUGUCUGAGAGCACUUCAGAUCCUUCUCUUUCCCCUGCUGAUGCUUCCUCUCCUGCUGAAGCUCUUGUCGAACUAUACUUUUCCUUUGACUUCGAGCAGUAGGGCUAGUUCCGUCUAGAAUCUCCGUUCUAGUUUCAUCUUAUAAAGAAGAAGACUGAAUGUACCCUUGAUAAUGCCCACGUAGCUUGGCGCAAGUAAGAGUCUCAAGUUUCAAGUCAGGUUGAAAGAAUGGAAGCAACGGAACAGAUCUUGUCGUUUAGGCUUUCAUACCAGGUAAAGAGGUAUAUUAUCAAUUCUUAUAUUAAUGCGCUAGAUACUAGAUCGUACCCCCGACUUAUUCCAUGAUUCUAGUUGGCUGCUCCCUCCUCUUUAUUCAACUCCAGCUUCGUAAGCUUCUGACUUUCAAACAGAAACUCU
rnacentral:lncRNA from 1 species